GUUUACAGAGCACAGAGUAUCAUCGUGCGAUUUCAGAGCUGUGUUACUAACAAGGUUUUAUGUUGUAUGAACAGCCCAUUGCGGAGCAAUUCAGCGUUGAGGCCAUGCCAACCUUCCUGUUCAUUAAGGAAGGAGAUGUCAAGGACAGGGUUGUGGGAGCUAUCAAGGAGGAACUGACGAACAAGGUUGGGCUACACGCGGCGGCCCAGUAAUCACCUAGCGGAGUAGUAUUCGCCUAAAUAAAAUUGUGGCUCAAGAAGCGGUGCCUCUAAUGGCACCUUAUAUCCUGUGUACUGCUUGUUACUUGUUGGUUGGAUGAUGGUGAAUCAAGUGUGACUUUAUUCGGUAAAUGGUUGAUUUUCAUAAGGAGCUGAUCUAAUCCAGUUGUUCGGCUAUAGGCUAUGGCUAUUGUGAUGUUCCAAGUGAUUAGCAUGUCAAAGUGCUAUGAUACUUGAAUCCAUGUCAUCUCACAUUGUUGCCUCUUGAUUCUUUAUCCAUGUCAACGGGCUGAUUUUGUGGCAAACUAGCAUGUGGAGAUGACGAGCAAAGAUCAGAGAUUGUAUGUUGGGAGAUGAAAACACGCGAUUCUUCCACGCCGCUGCAAAUUGUCACUCCAAAAAAAAAAACAGAAUGCUGAUGAGAGAUGACAUACAGCACUCUGAGAAUUCAGAAAAGCUGGCUAUCGCUGCGCAGUUCUUCUCAAGCUUGUUUGGACAGGACUCCUUACCUCUUCCAGUUAUUGAUCCCGCAAAUCUGUAUGAUCAACUCGACCUUAGUAUGUUGGAUGAACCUAUCGCCUGGCUGAGAUUGUUAAUGCUAUCAACAGAUCAUGAGGUAACAUAAUGCAGCAAGAGGAUUUUCUGGGAUGCUUAAAAGUAUCGACUGCAUGCAUUGGAAAUGGAAAAACGGCCCAUUUGCUUAGCAGGGGAUGUAUAAAGGCGGUUGCAGUGUGGUACUUGAGGCGGUGGCCACACAGGACCUCUGGAUUUGGCACUCCUUCUUUGGUAUGCCCGGAACUCACAAUGACAUCAAUGUGCUGCAGUGCUCUCCUGUCUUUGCCAAGCUUGUUGAAGGUCAUUCUCCUUCGGUGAACUUCGAGGUCAAUGGGCGGCAGUACAACAAGGGGUACUACCUAGCUGAUGGCAUCUAUCUGAAAUUGUCUACAUUUGUGAAGACUAUCUCAAACGAUGUGCCAGGAGGCAAGAAGUCCCACUUUGCCAAGGUGCAGGAGGCUUGCAGGAAGGAUGUCGAGCGGGCAUUUGGUGUGCUCCAAUCUCGAUUUGCUGUUGUCCGGUACCCUACUCAGACCUGGUCGAAAGAUCAAAUGUGAGAGAUCGUGACUUGCUGUGUCAUCUUGCACAACAUGAUCAUCGAGAGCGAGCAGGAAGAUCCAGUGUUUGACACUGAACCAUACUACAGGCAGGGUCCUCUAGCCGAAGUUGAUCACCAGCUACCGGCAACCUGGACUGCCUACCUCAGUAUGCGUCAGGAGAUCCGAGACCCACAGGUGCAUCAUCAACUGCAGCAGGAUCUGGUGGAGCACCUAUGGAGGAUCAAGGGCGCCGCCUAACUCGACGUGUGAUGAAAUAUGAGUUUUUAUUUGUUGAAUUAUAUAAUUUGUAUUGAACUAUUUAUUGUUGCACUAUUUUGUUGAACUAUUUGAUUUUCUGUGAUGAACUAUGUGAUAAAAAAAAUAUUUAUGUUGAGAAUUCAACGCCGAACCACACCGAAUAUGGACCAUUUUUCGCUGAAAGUGGGCCGAAAAGCACCCAGGAAUGGGUCGAUAUCGGCGCCUGGGGGCGACCUGGGGGUGACGGUUGGAUGCCCAACCGCCCCCAGAGCCGAUUUUACCGCCGACUCGCCCUCAGGCGGUGAUUUUUAUGCCUCCUGGAGGGCCAACGGCUGGAGAUGCUCUUAGCCUGAGUCGCCAUCAUCUUUGUCUUCCCUCUAAGAGCAUUUCCAACCAAACAUAGCUAAUUUGAUUCUCUAUACAUCCAGGGACGUGUCCACUCAUAUCCAAACCUUAAACUCAUACAACCUCAUGCAAUGUUAAUCAACACAACAUAGAUAAACUAAACACAUAUCAUUGAUACGAUUGGGCAUAGCAAAAAAAUCAUACAACCAGAUAUGGCAAGUUCAAAAAACAGAUAGUUCACCACUACAAUAACAUUAAUACGAUAUACUAUUAGACAAAGAUAGCAGUCACCUCUUAUUCACCUUGCCCUUUCCCUGUCGUCUCUAGAGCGACGGUAUUACACGUUGCCGCAUAGAGGGUCAUUGGAGUUGUUGGAGGCACUAGAGGAUUUGGAUGAGGAGGGGAGCCCUAGCAGGCAACGGACUACGCAAGCGCGGUACUUGGCGAGGCGGCUAACUUUGGCAUCCGCCAUAGCUUUCUUCUUCAGUGGGCACUCGAACUCCCUAAGCUCUAGCUGCAAUGCUUUCACAUUUUUAUGGCGAUUGCGGCAGGCGUUUGUCUGAGCGGUGGUCAAGGACUAGUGCAGGACGCCGCAGAUGAGCUCAUCGUCGAAGUCGAAGGUAAGGGAGACCGACACAGAUCUACAAGAGCCAUGCCUGCCUCAUGCGGCGAGCUGCCCAUGCCUUUGACUUGAGAAGCCACCGCCGCGUGCUUGAAGGUGUUGAGAUCAGCACCCAACACCGACCAAGAGGUGCAGGGAGCGGAAGUGACAUCCCGGAGCUGCAAGAGCCCCACCAGACCACCGGGCGGGCGUGGACCACGCCGAGCCUACGCGGACUAGCCUGGAGUUGGAGGAGUGCCGCCAGGCCACCAGAGUGGUGCGUCGAGAUCGAGCUUCCACCCCUAUCCAUCAGCAACCUACAGAUGGCAAUGAAGAUAGCAACUCGUCAUUUGACUCUGCCGCGAUGGCGUCCCAAUCAACGGUGUCGGCUUCAGAGGAGGAGUCGCUGCUGGAGCCGGAUAUGGUGGUGACUGACGGCGACAAAGGGAAGGGGAGAGGAGUUGGAGCGGUGCUGUUGAGGAAGUGUGACUAAGAUUUGGUCAGAGUGGUGUUUUUGUGGGGGUCGAGGUGGGCCAACACGGGCCAAUCUGGCGUGGUAGCCGCGUUGAAACCAUCUCAUAUCCCACCCACAUAGGGAAUGGAUAUGAAGGGUGUCGAACAACCCGGACAAAUAGGCUGGGUACACGGGGUCUGAUAUUGUGGCGGUUGGUUGCGAGAUGAUUUUUGCCAUGCCUCACGCGUGUUUGCAGUGUGGUGUUUGAAUCAGGCCCUCGCAAAGGUACGGAUGUAGACCUAUUCACCACGUCAGAGAAGAAAAAGAACUGUUCAAUCACACACGCCUCAGGUGGCCCGCCCGUUUGAAUGCACACGCCCAUCUGACUGUUCAACAGUCCCAGCCCGGAAAGCUACGCCCUCCAGGGGCUCCGCCGUAAUUUCGCGCAGGAGGAAAGGGCAUAUUCGUCAUAGCCCGCAGGAUAAAUUCCGAUUCCUGCCUGCCGGACAAAGACAAUAUCUUUGGGGAGGCGAGCCGGGAUUGGAGACCGAGGCCAGAAGGCAACAACAAAGUGCGCGUGAGAAAUAAGCGGUGCUUGCCGAGAAGAGAGAGAGAGAGAGAGAGAGAGAGAGAGAGAGAGAGAGAUGGCGGCGUCGGCGGCGACGGCAACGGCGGCGGCGGUGGGGGCGGGGGAGGUGAUCUCCGUCCACAGCCUGGAGCAGUGGACCAUGCAGAUCGAGGAGGCCAACGCCGCCAAGAAGCUGGUAUACACAUCUAUCUAUCUAUCUCCUGAUUGAUCUGGUUCCGUUAUCCCCUCUUCCUCCUGCAAAGCGGGAGGAGCGCUAGGGUUUGUUUCAGAUCCCACUCGAUCCGUCGAGCGCUAGUGUUUCUUUGUUCACACCACCCAAAUCUAAAACCUAGGAGCAGUGAUGUUUGGUGGAUGAGAGCUGUUUCGUGUAUGUAGUGGGCUCCUGACGACUAAUCUGUGCUUAAAACAAGUUGCUGGAUUGUUUUACGAUUGCGAUUCAGAGAGCGUAUAGGGCUGAUUUGUUUUCCCCCAUCUUAGGGAUGCGGCGAAUCUGGUAUUUGUGACCAGGAAAAAUUGCAGCAAAAACAGUUAAUCACAACUAGACUAGUUGACUGGACUUUCUUGUCAGGGGCUCUGCUAAGCCAAUUGUUAUAGUAGGCCGGAGAAAAACGCCAAUUCAGAUUUGAGACAUUUUGUAGCGCAGGUGGCACCCCUCCCUGCAAGGUCUUUCUUUGAAUUGUCUAAAACCACUGUCAUGUGUUGAUUACGUUGUAGUAAUAGCGUUGCCUUGAUCCUGUGUAAUGAUGCAUAUGUUUGGAACAUCUUUCUGUGUCAGCAGAUCGCGCGUCUCUUUACACGACUCUUGCAAUAUGUUUUCCGCGCUGUGCUGCCUGACGAGUUUUGUGGUGUGUGGAUGGAGAUUGGAGAGUCCUUUUGUUCUUCUUGUUAAGAUUGUAGAGAUUGCCAUCGUGUGCAAUAUCCCCCUAUUUGAUACUGCUACAAAUUGGCACCAACAUUGUACUAUAUGUAGAUCGUGUCUCUUCAAGUCUGUAUACAAAGAAUGAUGGUGUUAACCCACUGAAACUCUGAACCAUGGCCUCACAUGAUGAUCAUUAUGGAGUAGUUUGUAAUAUAUUUUUUGCGGGGGAGUUUGCAACUUUUCAUGGAGUUUCGACUCAGAAAUUCUGGAACAAGCGCAGCAAUCCAAUGUAAAUUUUACUCCCUCCGUUCUUAAAUAUAAGACCUUUUAGAUAUUCCACUAUGGACUACAUACGGAUGUAUAUAGACAUACUUUAGAGUGUAGAUUCACUCAUUUUGCUCCGUAUGUAGUCUAAGUGGAAUCUCUAAAAGGUCUUAUAUUUAGGAACUUGGAGUGCAAGCUCUGGUAUAGGAAUUAGCAAUAGCAUUUUUUUAAAAGCAAAAGCAUUAUUGACACAUGCUUUGAAUAUAUUCUUCACGAUCAUGUUAACCUUGUUUUGCACCUAACAGGUGGUCAUUGACUUCACUGCAUCGUGGUGUGGACCCUGCCGCAUUAUGGCUCCAAUUUUCGCUGAUCUCGCCAAGAAGUUCCCAGCUGCUGUUUUCCUCAAGGUCGAUGUUGAUGAACUGAAGGUAAUGGAACUGAUGUCGCUGUUUACAGAGUAUCGUGGUACAAAUUCAGAGCUGUGUUACUAACAAAGCUUUUUGUGUUGUAUAAACAGUCCAUUGCUGAGCAAUUCAGCGUGGAGGCCAUGCCAACCUUCCUGUUCAUGAAGGAAGGAGACGUCAAGGACAGGGUUGUCGGAGCUAUCAAGGAGGAACUGACGAACAAGGUUGGGCUACACGCGGCCCAGUAAUCACCUAGCGGUGUAGUAUUGGCCUAAAUAAAAUUGCCGCUCAACAAGUAGUGCCUCUAAUGGCACCUUAUAUCCUGUGUACUUCUUGUUACUUGUUGGUUUAUGGAUAAUGCGUUGCUUAAUCCAAGCUAGUGUGCUUUUGCAUAAAUAGUUUUCGCCCCUUUGGAUGUGAAUUUGCCUGGAUCUAUCCUGAUCUACAAGCUGGGAUGUGCAUGUGCACACGGUUCCAGUGUUGGUUCCCCUCUCCGAUCCCACCUGGAGCUGGAAGUUCUCCCCUUUUCAAAAAAAGGGAGGAAAUUCUCUUCCGGAUUCAAGCAGAAACAUAUUUUGAUUCGGUUUCAUCAGGCUAGCAAUCCUCUCUUCAUAUAUACCUGGACAAUCGUCUUGUAGAUAGCUUGAAAGGAGGGGAAGAUCCAUCCAUGUACAUGGAGGAGGGCUUGGAAGAGUACGUCAACGUGACGGAGAGCGCCAUCUUCGGCGCCUCGCUGACACCGCCUGCGCUGCCCCUUUUCAACGGUCCUCCUCCGAGCUGGGUCCUCCUCGACGUCUCCGCCUACAUAGCCGCCGGCACCACCGCCGCCGCCGGCACCAGGGGAGGCCAUGCCAUAGAGGUCACCAUGAUCGCCGCCCGCCCGCCGCUGGUCUCCCACAUCCGCGUCAACUGCCCCGGCCUCAAGCCCACACGCUUCGCCAUCGAGCCCAGGAUCUUCGCCGCCGCGGAUGGCCUCUUCUUGCUCGGCGUCGCCAUCGGCCACCGGUCCCUGUGCACCCAGCCGGACAUGUUCGACUACUUCGUCUACCAGCCCGCCGCGCGCUCGCUCACGUCUCUCCCGCGCCCACAUGGCCGCUUCGGUCUCAGGGACGUCGCCCUCCUGCGCUGCAGCCCGAACAGCUCCUCCUACAUCAUUGCGUUCCUCGAGGGUACACGGGGACGGGGCAUGGCGUAUGAGCUCCACCGCUUCCACUCCGAGACCAACACCUGGACCAAGAGCAAGCUGGAGCUUGGUGCCACUGCCAUGAACCCUGCCAUGGACUCCGUCUUCUUCUCCACUAGCAAGGUGUUCACUCUCGGCGGUGGUUUCGUGGGCUGGGCCGACCUCUGGCGCGGCGUCCUGCUCUGCGACGUGCUCCUCGACCCGGAGCUCCGCUACGUCCCCUUGCCGCAUGCCUUCGGUGAGCGCAAGUGGGACGCCGUCAUAACCAGGGACAUCGCCGUUGUCGACCAAGGUUGCAUCAAGUACGUCGACAAGCGGUCUGACGAGCACACUGGUGGUGGCUGGACACUCACCGCAUGGAGCAAGAAGAUCAACAGCAAGCCGUGGAAGGAGGAACAAUGGCGCCAGGACUGCGAGUUGAGAUCUUCUGAUGUCUCUGUCCUUUUGCCGCCACUGCCGAGGCCAUUCCAUGAGCUCAUGACAGGCCACCCCGUCAUAAGCUUGCGGGGCGACGACGUCGUCUACUUGAUGAGCAAAGAGAGCCUCAGGGACGACACGGCGUGGGUGGUCGCCGUCGACAUGAGCAGCAAGUCGUUGCAGGAAGUGGUUGAGUUUGGCGGUUCCCGGAGAUCAAUAGGCAUAAGCCGCACCUAUAUACAGAGCAGGAUCGACCUCUGGUCAUCCGAAGAUCACCCCAGGUAAUUCUAUCUUGAAUUAAUCAGUUCGAUCUUCGAUCACCUGCUAUUGCUCAUGCCUAAUCUGUUGGGCUUUUCUUAUCUGUACAAAUCCGACAAUUCGGUCGGUUGGCUCAUUUUAGUCGUUUUAGAACAUUUUGGAAGACAUCUGAAUGGUGGUGUAAUUGAUCAAUGCACAUUUAGGGGUUGGAAAAUCAUCCAUGAAUUUCAAACACAUAACUGGGGAACUAGAAACCGCUGCUGCAUGUCGCGGUAGCUUUUGUGUAAGAAGUCAGUUCAGAUGUUGUGUGAGACUGAGGUUAUAUACAUUGGCAUCAGACGCUGUUUAAUGUUCUUGUUGUCGCUUGCUGCCAUUUCUUUUUCUUCCAGAAAGUCGGCCAUGUCAUUUGCUCAUGAUUUGUGAAAAUGGUUGCAUGGUUUUGGAACUGCUAGCUCAUAAUUUACCGACACUAGCUAGUGUGUCUCAAGAAAAAGGAACACUGGCAGUAUAUAUGUCUGAAAAAAUAGCACUGGCAAGUGAGCUAAUGAGAAGAUGCUGCAGGGGGGGACUUUUCAAAACAAUUUGAGUUGUAUUACAAAAUCCAAAAAAAAGGUAAGUAUGACAGACUCCAAGCACAGCAGAAGUGACCUUUGAUCAGGAUACAAGAGGUGAUGCAAAUUCAAACAUAGGUCAUGAAAUUUUAGAAUUAUUCAUUAAUUCAAAAAUGUUCAUGAAUUCAAAAAUUGUAUGCAAAUUGAAAAAAAUCGUGAAUUAAUUUUUUUCAUAAAUUUGAAAAACUUGUUGAUGAAUUAAAAAAACAUUUGCAAAUUGCAAAAAAGUGUUUGUCCAUUAAAAAAAAUCAUGAAAUAUAAAAUAUUCAAGAAUUCAACAAAAAUAUUUAUGAAUUCGAAAAAUGUUCACAUAUCGAUAAAAUGUUCAUGAUAUUCAAAUUGAUUGUGAAUUUUUAAAAGUAUUCAUGAAUCUAAAUUUUAUUAACUUUAAAAAAUUCGUUAGCCCGUUCUAUUUGUAAUUUGCUAUCUAGCUAAGGCGGACGCGUAGUUCCAUAAUGUGACCUUCGAUUCUUGGCGAGUUCGAACAAGCCCUCGAUAGCUAGGGUCUCAAAGAGGUUGCCCACAUUCUUGCUCAUAAAACCUAUUCUUCUUUGAAACUUUUUUUUUUGCUUCCAAGAGUAUCAGCGAUGCUUUGACAGGACAAGCAAGGUUUGAAGAGGAUAUCUUCAAGAGUUCCCUAACCCCCUGAUUGAGAGUGCUAUGAUGGGCUAUUGAAGCUCAUCCCUGGGGCGCAGUGGGGCAGUGCAAAUCCUAUUUUCUAUGCCAAUCAAUUGUCAUAACCUUUGCUGAUGUCAUUUGCUUUAAAGAUUUUAGCAUCAUGGAUGUUCAACAUGAAAAAUAACAAAAUAAUAUCUUUUAGGAUAAACCCAUGCAUAAUUCAGCAAGUGUUUGGUUCUAACUCUAGAUUAUUGUGGUCGAUAAUGAUUACUAAGCCAUGUACAAUGUACAUUCAGUCCAAAUGUCCAAUGGCUUAUACACUGGUUCCCGAAUCGAAUACGAAAGAUCGGAAAUGUUCGUUUGCUCUUCUCCACCCGAUCAAGAAGUGACCGGUCUCAAAUGUAAGUGCUUUCUUCCGUGCAUGCUAUUCUCGUGUUCCAUGAUUAGAGAAGACAUGUUUCUAGUUUUCUUUGAGGUAAUAAACAAGUUGUAUCCCGCUUUGCUUAUCUUGAUGUGGAAUCUAUCGUUGACCACCCAUGAAUGUAGGUAGAAGGUGUUUUUUUCUUAACUCUUUCUAGGCCCCAGCUUGAUUGGACUUCGUCAGCUCUUGUCAUUCAGCUUCCUCUCUCCUCUCUCAUCUUGUCUCUCCCCUUCUGGAUGUCCGCUGUUUCACUAUAUGUUGUGUGUUACCAUAGACAAGAGGUUAUACUGUCAUUCAUAACUUUUAAGCCCAGGUCUCAUGUAUUCUGAAUCAAAUGCGGGUAUCAAUGCUCUAUGGAAGUCUGUCUCUUUUCCGAAAGUUCUACCUUAUACCAAUUCGUAACUUGGUACACCGGAAAAGUAAUGCUAACACUUUUGUAUCCAAGACGUGGCCCCUUCAAAUAUUGGAAAAUAAACUAUAUAUUGUUUUUUCAGGGUUCUAUGAGCAUAAAUGGAAGCACUUGCCUCUUCUUCGACAAAUGAAUAUGCCUCGCCUCGAACAUAAAGAAAUCCUGAGUAAGGAGAGAGAUUUUCCACACGAACAAACAACCCGUCAGGUUCAAAAUGACAUAGGUGAAUCGGAUCAACACCAAUCUUACACCAACAAGGAGUCGCUUUGUUUGCACAGUUGGCAGGCCGCCUUCCUAAUCUGCAGCCUCACCGGUCAAAAGAAUCCUCUAUCUGGACUCCCGCUAGACCUCUGACUGGCCUAGGGAACUUCUCUAAGCUUGAGAACUCCUUUAUCCUCACUAAAGCGCAACCGCCUCCCUCCCCACCCUAUGGGAGGCGCUGCCUUCCGUGGUCAUCGUUGGAGGGCAGGUCUGAAUCCUACUGUUGAUCGCGUGUGCUCGCCACGCCUAGGCUUUGUUGGGGAACGUAGCAUGCAAUUUCAAAAAAUUUCCUACGAUCACGCAAGAUCUAUCUAGGAGAUGCAUAGCAACGAGAGGGGAGAGUGUGUCCACGUACCCUCGUAGACCGAAAGCGGAAGCAUUAGGUUAACGCAGUUGAUGUAGUCGAACGUCUUUACGAUCCAACCGAUCUAGUACCGAACGUACGACACGUCCGAGUUCAGCACACGUUCAGCUCGAUGAAGUCCCUCGAACUCUUGAUCCAGCAGAGGGUCGAGGAAGAGUUUCGUCAGCACGACGGUGUGGUGACGGUGAUGGUGAUGUGAUCCGCAUAGGGCUUCGCCUAAGCACUACGACGCUAUGACCAGAGGCGUAAACUAUGGAGGGAGGCACCGCACACGGCUAAGAGAACAAUUGAUGUGCUAUGGGGUCCCCCUGCCCCCGUACAUAAAGGAGGGGAGGAGGAGGCGGCCGGCCAGGAGGGGCGCGCCAUGGGGGGAGUCCUACUAGGACUCCACUCCUAGUAGGAUUCGCCCCCUUUUUCCUUUCUUACGAGAGGGGAAAAGGAAGGAGAAGGAGAGGGAGAGGGAAAGGGGGGCGCCGCCCCUCCCCUAGUCCAAUUCAGACUGCCAUGGGGGGGGCACCCCUUGCGGCCCUCCUCUCUCUCCACUAAGGCCUAUGUAGGCCCAAUACUUCCCCCGGGGGUUCCGGUAACUCCUCGGUACUCCGGUAAAAUACCCGAACCACUCGAAACCAUUCCGAUGUCCGAAUACUACCUUCCAAUAUAUGAAUCUUUACCUCUCGACCAUUUCGAGACUCCUCGUCAUGUCCGUGAUCUCAUCCGGGACUCCGAACAAACUUCGGUCACCAAAACACAUAACUCAUAAUACAAAUCGUCAUCGAACGUUAAGCGUGCGGACCCUACGGGUUCGAGAACUAUGUAGACAUGACCGAGACACUUCUCCCGUCAAUAACCAACAUCGGAACCUGGAUGCUCAUAUUGGUUCCUACAUAUUCUACGAAGAUCUUUAUCGGUCAAACCGCAAUAACAACAUACGUUAUUCCCUUUGUCAUCGGUAUGUUACUUGCCCGAGAUUCGAUCGUCGGUAUCAUUAUACCUAGUUCAAUCUUGUUACCGACAAGUCUCUUUACUCGUUCCGUAAUGCAUCAUCCCGUAACUAACUCAUUAGUCACAUUGCUUGAAAGGCUUAUAGUGAUGUGCAUUACCGAGAGGGCCCAGAGAUACCUCUCCGAUACUCGGAGUGACAAAUCCUAAUCUCGAUCUAUGCCAACCCAACAAACACCUUCGGAGACACCUAUAGAGCAUCUUUAUAAUCACCUAGUUACGUUGUGACGUUUGAUAGCACACAAGGUGUUCCUCCGGUAUUCGGGAGUUGCAUAAUCUCAUAGUCAGAGGAAUAUGUAUAAGUCAUGAAGAAAGCAAUAGCAAUAAAACUUAACGAUCAUUAUGCUAAGCUAAUGGAUGGGUCUUGUCCAUCACAUCAUUCUCUAAUGAUCUGAUCCCGUUCAUCAAAUGACAACACAUGUCUAUGGUCAGGAAACUUAGCCAUCUUUGAUUAACGAGCUAGUCAAGUAGAGGCAUACUAGGGACACUCUGUUUUGUCUAUGUAUUCACACAUGUACUAAGUUUCCGGUUAAUACAAUUCUAGCAUGAACAAUAAACAUUUAUCAUGAUAUAAGGAAAUAUAAUAAGAACUUUAUUAUUGCCUCUAGGGCAUAUUUCCUUCAGUCUCCCACUUGCACUAGAGUCAAUAAUCUAGAUUACAUUGUAAUGAUUCUAACACCCAUGGAGUCUUGGUGCUGAUCAUGUUUUGCUCAUGGAAGAGGCUUAGUCAAUGGGUCUGCAACAUUUAGAUCCGUAUGUAUUUUGCAAAUCUCUAUGUCUCCCUCCUUGACUUGAUCGCGGAUGGAGUUGAAGCGUCUCUUGAUGUGUUUGGUUCUCUUGUGAAAUCUGGAUUCCUUCGCCAAGACAAUUGCUCCAGUAUUGUCACAAAAGAUUUUCAUUGGACCCGAUGCACUAGGUAUUACACCUAGAUCGGAUAUGAACUCCUUCAUCCAGACUCCUUCAUUUGCUGCUGCCGAAGCAGCUAUGUACUCCGCUUCACACGUAGAUCCCGCCACGACGCUCUGCUUGGAACUGCACCAACUGACAGCUCCACCAUUUAAUAUAAAUAUGUAUCCGGUUUGCGACUUAGGGUCAUCAGUGUCAAAGCUUGCAUCAACGUAACCAUUUAUGACAAGCUCUUUGUCACCUCCAUAAACGAGAAACAUAUCCUUAGUCCUUUUCAGGUAUUUCAGGAUGUUCUUGACCGCUGUCUAAUGAUCCACUCCUGGAUUACUUUGGUACCUCCUUGCUAAACUUAUAGCAAAGCACACACCAGGUCUGGUACACAGCAUUGCAUACAUGAUAGAACCUAUGGCUGAGGCAUAGGGAAUGACUUUCAUUUUGUCUCUAUCUUCUGCAGUGGUCGGACAUUGAGUCUGACUCAACUUCACACCUUGUAACACAGGCAAGAACCCUUUCUUUGACCAAUUCAUUUUGAACUUCUUAAAAACUUUAUCAAGGUAUGUGCUUUGUGAAAGUCCAAUUAAGCAUCUUGAUCUACCUCUAUAGAUCUUGAUGCCCAAUAUAUAAGCAGCUUCACCGAGGUCUUUCAUUGAAAAAUUCUUAUUCAAGUAUCGUUUUAUGCUGUCCAGAAAUUCUGUAUUAUUUCCAAUCAAUAAUAUGUCAUCCAAAUAUAAUAUUAGAAAUGCUAUAGAGCUCCCACUCACUUUCUUGUAAAUACAGGCUUCUCCAAAAGUCUGUAUAAAACCAUAUGCUUUGAUCACACUAUCAAAACGUAUAUUCCAACUCCGAGAUGCUUGCACCAGUCCAUAAAUGGAUCGCUGGAGCUUGCACACUUUGUUAGCACCUUUAGGAUCGACAAAACCUUCUGGUUGCAUCAUAUACAACUCUUCUUUAAGAUAUCCAUUAAGGAAUGCAGUUUUCACAUCCAUUUGCCAAAUUCCAUAAUCAUAAAAUGCGGCAAUUGCUAACAUGAUUCGGACAGACUUAAGCAUCUCUACGGGUGAGAAGGUCUCAUCGUAGUCAACUCCUUGAACUUGUCGAAAACCUUUCGCAACAAUUCGAGCUUUAUAGACAGUAACAUUACCGUCAGCGUCAGUCUUCUUCUUGAAGAUCCAUUUAUUCUCUAUGGCUUGCCGAUCAUCAGGCAAGUCAACCAAAGUCCAUACUUUGUUCUCAUACAUGGAUCCCAUCUCAGAUUUCAUGGCCUCAAGCCAUUUCCCGGAAUCUGGGCUCAUCAUCGCUUCCUCAUAGUUCAUAGGUUCGUCAUGGUCUAGUAACAUGACUUCCAGAACAGGAUUACCAUACCACUCUGGUGCGGACCGUACUCUGGUUGACCUACGAGGUUCGGUAGUAACUUGUUCUGAAGUUUCAUGAUCAUCAUCAUUAGCUUCCUCACUAAUUGGUGUAGGAAUCACUGGAACUGAUUUAUGUGAUGAACUACUUUCCAAUUCGGCAGAAGGUACAAUUACGUUAUCAAGUUUUACUUUCCUCCCACUCACUUCUUUCGAGAGAAACUCCUUCUCAAAAAGGAUCCAUUCUUAGCAACAAAAGUCUUGCCUUCGGAUAUGUGAUAGAAGGUAUACCCAAUAGUUUCUUUUGGGUAUCCUAUGAAGACACACUUCUCCGAUUUGGGUUCGAGCUUAUCAAGUUGAAGCUUUUUCACAUAAGCAUCGCAGCCUCAAACUUUAAGAAACGACAGCCGAGGUUUCUUGCCAAACCACAGUUCAUAUGGAGUCAUCUCAACGGAUUUAGAUGGUGCCCUAUUUAACGUGAAUGCAGCCGUCUCUAAAGCAUAACCCCAAAAUGAUAGUGCUAAAUCGGUAAGAGACAUCAUAUAUCGCACCAUAUCUAAUAAAGUACGGUUACGACGUUCGGACACACCAUUACACUGUGGUGUUCCAGGUGGCGUGAGUUGCGAAACUAUUCCACAUUGUUUCAAAUGAAGACCAAACUCGUAACUCAAAUAUUCGCCUCCGCGAUCAGAUCGUAGAAACUUUAUUUUCUUGUUAUGAUGAUUUUCUACUUCACUCUAAAAUUAUUUCAACUUUUCAAAUGUUUCAGACUUAUGUUUCAUUAAGUAGAUAUACCCAUAUCUGCUCAAAUCAUGUGUGAAGGUCAGAAAAUAACGAUACCUGCCGCGAGCCUCUACACUCAUCGGACCGCAUACAUCAGUCUGUAUUAUUUCCAAUAAGUCAGUGGCUCGCUCCAUUGUUCCGGAGAACGGAGUCUUAGUCAUCUUGCCCAUGAGGCAUGGUUCGCAAGCAUCAAGUGAUUCAUAAUCAAGUGAUUCCAAAAGCCCAUCAGCAUGGAGUUUCUCAUACGCUUUACGCCAAUAUGACCUAAAUGGCAGUGCCACAAAUAAGUUGCACUAUCAUUACUAACUUUGCAUCUUUUGGCUUCAAUAUUAUGAAUAUGUGUAUCACUACGAUCGAGAUUCAACAAAAAAUAGAACACUCAUCAAGGGUGCAUGACCAUAAAAGAUAUUGCUCAUAUAAAUAGAACAACCAUUAUUCUCUGAUUUAAAUGAAUAACCGUCUCGCAUCAAACAAGAUCCAGAUAUAAUGUUCAUGCUCAACGCUGGCACCAAAUAACAAUUAUUCAGGUCUAAAAUUAAUCCCGAAGGUAGAUGUAGAGGUAGCAUGCCGACGGCGAUCACAUCAACCUUGGAACCAUUUCUGACGCGCAUCGUCACCUCGUCCUUAGCCAAUCUUCGCUUAAUCCGUAGCCCCUGUCUCGAGUUGCAAAUAUGAGCAACAUAACCAGUAUCAAAUACCCAGCGCUACUAAGAGCAUUCAUAAGGUACACAUCAAUAACAUGUAUAUCAAAUAUACCGUUCACUUUUCCAUCCUUCUUAUCCGCCAAAUACUUGGGGCAGUUCCGCUUCCAGUGACCAGUCCCUUUGCAGUAGAAGCACUCAGUUUCAGGCGUCCAGACUUGGGCUUCUUCCUGGGAGUAGCAACUUGCUUGCUAUUCUUCUUGAAGUUCCCCUUCUUCCCUUUGCCCUUUUUCUUGAAACUAGUGGUUUUGUUAACCAUCAAGACUUGAUGCUCCUUCUUGAUUUCUACCUCCGCAGCCUUUAGCAUCGCGAAGAGCUCGGGAAUUGUCUUUUCCAUCCCUUGCAUGUUACAGUUCAUCACGAAGCCUUUACAGCUUGGUGGCAGUGAUUGAAGUGAAGGAAAUAUGCCCUAGAGGCAAUAAUAAAGUUAUUAUUUAUUUCCUUAUUUCAUGAUAAAUGUUUAUUAUUCAUGCUAGAAUUUUAUUAACUGGAAACUUAGUACAUGUGUGAAUACAUAGACAAAACAAUGUGUCCCUAGUAUGCCUCUACUUGACUAGCUCGUUUAUCAAAGCUGGUUAUGUUUCCUAACCAUAGACAUGUGUUGUCAUUUGAUGAACGGGAUCACAUCAUUAGGAGAAUGAUGUGAUGGACAAGACCCAUUCGUUAGCUUAGCAUUAUGAUCGUUACAGUUUCAUUGCUACUGCUUUCUUCAUGACUUAUACAUGUUCCUCAGACUAUGAGAUUAUGCAACUCCCGAAUACCGGAGGAACACCGUGUGUGCUAUCAAACGUCACAACGUAACUGGGUGAUUAUAAAGAUGCUCUACAGGUGUCUCCGAAGGUGUUUGUUGGGUUGGCAUAGAUCGAGAUUAGGAUUUGUCACUCCGUGUAUCGAAGAGGUAUCUCUGGGCCCUCUCGGUAAUGCACAUCACUAUAAGCCUUGCAAGCAAUGUGACUAAUGAGUUAGUUGCGGGAUGAUGCAUUACGGAACGAGUAAAGAGACUUGCCGGUAACGAGAUUGAACUAGGUAUGAUGAUACCGACGAUCGAAUCUCGGGCAAGUAACAUACCGAUGACAAAGGGAACAACGCAUGUUGUUAUGCGGUUUGACUGAUAAAGAUCUUCGUAGAAUAUGUGGGAGCCAAUAUGAACAUCCAGGUUCCGCUAUUGGUUAUUGACCGGAGAUGAGUCUCGGUCAUGUCUACAUAGUUCUCGAACCCGUAGGGUCUGCACGCUUAACGUUCAGUGACGAUCGGUAUUAUGAGUUUAUGUGUUUUGAUGUACCGAAGGUUGUUCGGAGUACCGGAUGUGAUCACGGACAUGACGAGGAGUCUUGAAAUGGUCGAGACAUAAAGAUUGAUAUAUUGGAAGGUUAUAUUCGGACACCGGAAGGGUUCCGGAGGUCAUUGGAUAAAUACCGGAGUACCGGGAGGUUACCGGAACCCCCCGGGGGGUCAAUGGACCUUCAUGGGACUUAGUGGAAAUAGAGGGCAGUAAGGGAAGUGUGGGGCGCGCCACCCUAGGCCCAAACCGAAUUGGUUUGGGGUUUGGGGGGCCGCCCCCUCUUUCCUUCUCCCCUCCUCCUCUUUCCUUCCCCUCCUAAUUGGACUAGGAAAAGGGGAACCUACUCCUAGUAGGAGUAGGAUUCCCCCCUUGGGGCACACCCUAUGAGGCCCCCGGCCCCCUCCCCUUGCUCCUUUAUAUACGGGGGAGGGGGGCACCCCUAGGACACACAAGUUGAUUAUUGAUCUCUUAGCCGUGUGAGGUUUCCCCCUCCACCACAAUCCACCUCGAUCAUAUCGUUGCAGUGCUUAGGCGAAGCCCUGCGCCGGUAGCUUCAUCAUCACCGUCAUCACGCCGUCGUGCUGACGAAGCUCUCCCUCGACACUCAGUUGGAUCGAGAGUUCGUGGGACGUCACCGAACCGAACUUGUGCAGAUCGCAGAGGUGCCAUACUUUCGGUACUAGGAUCGGUCGGAUCGUGAAGACGUACGACUACAUCAACCGCGUUGUCAUAAUGCUUCCGCUUACGGUCUACGAGGGUACGUGGACUACACUCUCCCCUCUCGUUGCUAUGCAUCACCAUGAUCUUGCGUGCGCGUAGGAAUUUUUUUGAAAUUACUGCGUUCCCCAACAGUGGCAUCCGAGCCAGGUCUAUGCGUAGAUGUUAUAUGCAUGAGUAGAACACAAGUGAGUUGUGGGCGAUAAUAGUCAUACUUUUUACCAGCAUGUCAUACUUUGAUUCAGCGGUAUUGUUGGAUGAAGUGGCCCGAACCGACAUUACGCGUAGGCUUACGCGAGACUGGUUCUACCGACGUGCUUCGCACACAGGUGGCUGGCGGGUGUCCGUUUCUCUAACUUUAGUUGAAUCGAGUGUGACUACGCCCGGUCCUUGUUGAAGGUUAAAACAACACACUUCACGAAAAAUCGUUGUGGUUUUGAUGCGUAGGUAAGAACGGUUCUUGCUAAGCCCGUAGCAGCCACGUAAAACUUGCAACAACAAAGUAGAGGACGUCUAACUUGUUUUUGCAGGGCAUGUUGUGAUAUGAUAUGGUCAAGACGUGAUGAGAUAUAAAUUGUUGUAUGAGAUGAUCAUGUUUUUGAAAUUAUCGGCAACUGGCAGGAGCCUUAUGGUUGUCUCUUUAUUGCAUAGGAUGCAAGUGCCAUGUAAUUGCUUUACUUUAUCGCUAUGCGAUAGCAAUAGUUGCAAAAGCAAUAGUUGGCGAGACGACCAUAUGACGACACGUUGAUAGAGAUCAAGAUGAUAGAGAUCAUGCUGUCAUGCCGGUGAUGAUAGAAAUCAUGACGGUACUUUGGAGAUGGAGAUCAAAGGCACAAGAUGAUGAUGGCCAUAUCAUGUCACAUAUUUUGAUUGCAUGUGAUGUUUAUCUUUUAUACAUCUUAUUUUGCUUGGUUCGGCGGUAGCUUUAUAAGAUGACCCCUUACUAAAAUUUCAAGGUAUAAGUGUUCUCCCUGAGUAUGCACCGUUGCGACAGUUCUUCGUGCCGAGACACCACGUGAUGACCGGGUGUGAUAAGCUCUACGUUCACAUACAACGGGUGCAAGCCAGUUUUGUUGGGAAUCGUAGCAUAAUUUAAAAUUUUCCUACGUUCACCAAGAUGCAUCUAUGGAGUAUACUAGCAACGAGGGGAAGGGAGUGCAUCUACAUACCCUUGUAGAUCGCGAGCGGAAGCGUUCCAAUGAACGUGGAUGACGGAGUCGUACUCGCCGUGAUUCAAAUCACCGAUGACCGAGUGCCGAACGGACGGCACCUCCGCGUUCAACACACGUACGGUGCAGCAACGUCUCCUCCUUCUUGAUCGAGCAAGGGGGAAGGAGAGGUUGAUGGAGAUCCAGCAGCACGACGGCGUGGUGGUGGAUGUAGCGGGUCUCCGGCAGGGCUACGCCGAGCUUCUGUGAGACGGAGAGGUGUAACAGGGGAGGAGGGAGGCGCCCAAGGCUGUUCUGUGCUGCCCUCCCUCCCCCCCCUUAUAUAGGCCCCCUGGGGGGGGGGGCGCCGGCCCAAGGAGAUGGGAUCUCCAAGGGGGGGGGCGGCGGCCAAAGGGGGGGAAGGGGUGCCUUGCCCCCCAAGGCAAGGGGGAAGCUCCCCCCUAGGGUUCCCAACCCUAGGCGCAUGGGGGGAGGCCCAAGGGGGGCGCCCCAGCCCACUAAGGGCUGGUUCCCUUCCACUUUCAGCCCAUGGGGCCCUCCGGGAUAGGUGGCCCCACCCGGUGGACCCCCGGGACCCUUCCGGUGGUCUCGGUACAAUACCGGUAACCCCCGAAACUUUCCCGGUGGCCGAAACUGGACUUCCUAUAUAUAAUUCUUCACCUCCGGACCAUUCCGGAACCUCUCGUGAUGUCCGGGAUCUCAUCCGGGACUCCGAACAACUUUCGGGUUUCCGCAUACAUAUAUCUCUACAACCCUAGCGUCACCGGACCUUAAGUGUGUAGACCCUACGGGUUCGGGAGACAUGCAGACAUGACCGAGACGCCUCUCCGGUCAAUAACCAACAGCGGGAUCUGGAUACCCAUGUUGGCUCCCACAUGCUCCACGAUGAUCUCAUUGGAUGAACCACGGUGUCGAGGAUUCAAUCAAUCCGUAUUCAAUUCCCUUUGUCAAUCGGUAUGUUACUUGCCCGAGAUUCGAUCGUCGGUAUCCAAAUACCUUGUUCAAUCUCGUUACCGGCAAGUCUCUUUACUCGUACCGCAAUGCAUGAUCCCGUGACUGACGCCUUAGUCACAUUGAGCUCAUUAUGAUGAUGCAUUACCGAGUGGGCCCAGAGAUACCUCUCCGUCACACGGAGUGACAAAUCCCAGUCUCGAUCCGUGCCAACCCAACAGACACUUUUGGAGAUACCCGUAGUGCACCUUUAUAGUCACCCAGUUAUGUUGUGACGUUUGGCACACCCAAAGCACUCCUACGGUAUCCGGGAGUUGCACGAUCUCAUGGUCCAAGGAAAAGAUACUUGACAUUGGAAAAGCUCUAGCAAACGAAACUACACGAUCUUUUAUGCUAUGCUUAGGAUUGGGUCUUGUCCAUCACAUCAUUCUCCUAAUGAUGUGAUCCCGUUAUCAAUGACAUCCAAUGCCCAUAGUCAGGAAACCAUGACUCUCUGUUGAUCAACGAGCUAGUCAACUAGAGGCUUACUAGGGACACGUUGUGGUCUAUGUAUUCACACAUGUAUUACGAUUUCCGGACAAUACAAUUAUAGCAUGAAUAAUAGACAAUUACCAUGAACAAAGAAAUAUAAUAAUAACCAUUUAUUAUUGCCUCUAGGGCAUAUUUCCAACAAGUUUUGCACAUGCAGAAUACUCGGGUUAAACUUGAUGAGCCUGGCAUAUGCAGAUAUGGCCUCGGAACACUGGAGGCCGAAAGGUCGAAUGUGAAUCAUAUGGUAGAUAUGAUCAACAUAGUGAUGUUCACCAUUGAAAACUACUCCAUCUCACGUGAUGAUCGGACAUGGUUUAGUUGAUAUGGAUCACAUGAUCAUUUAGAUGACUCGAGGGAUGUCUAUCUAAGUGGGAGUUCUUAAAUAAUAUGAUUAAUUGAACUUCAAUUUAUCAUGAACUUAGUCCUGAUAGUAUUUGCAUAUGUAUGUUGUGGAUCAAUAGCUCGCAAAUAGCUUCCCUAUCUUAUUUAUGAUAUGUUCCUAGAGAAAAACUAUGUUGAAAGAUGAUAGUAGCAAUGAUGAGGACUAGGUUCGUGAUCUGAGGAUUUUCCUCAUUGCUGCACAGAAGAAUUAUGUCCUUGAUGCACCGCUAGGUGACAGACCUAUUGCAGGAGCAGAAACAGACGUUAUGAACGUUUGACAAAGCUCGGUAUGAUGACUACUUGAUAGUUUAGCGCACCAUGCUUUACGGCUUAGAACCGGGACUUCAAAAAUGUUUUGAACACCAUGGAGCAUAUGAGAUGUUCCAAGAGCUGAAAUUGGUAUUUCAGACUCAUGCCCGAGUCGAGAGGUAUGAGAUCUCUGACAAGUACUUUGCCUACAAGAUGGAGGAGAAUAGCUCAACCGGUGAGCAUGUGCUCAGAUUGUCUGAGUACUACAAUUGCUUGAAUCAAGUGGGAGUUAAUCUUCCAGAUAAAAUAGUGAUUGAUAGAGUUCUCUAGUCACUAUCACCAAGUUAUUGGAACUUCGUGAUGAACUAUAAUAUGCAAGGGAUGAUGAAAACGAUUCCCGAGCUCUUCGUGAUGCUAAAAUCGGCGAAGGUAGAAAUCAAGAAAAGCAUCAAGUGUUGAUGGUUAACAAGACCACUAGUUUCAAGAAAAGGGCAAAGGGAUAGAAAGGGAACUUCAAGAAGAAUGACAAACAAGUUGUCACCCCCGUGAAGAAGCCCAAAGCUAGACCCAAGCCUGAAACUGAGUGCUUCUACUGCAAAGGAAAUGGUCACUCGAAGUGGAACUGCCCUUGAUACUUGGCGGAUAAGAAGGAUGGCAAAGUGAAAAAGGUAUAUUUGAUAUACAUGUUAUUGAUGUGUACUUUACUAGUGUUUAUAGCAACCUCUCGGUAUUUGAUACUGGUUCAGUUGCUAAGAGUAGUAACUUGAAAUGGGAGUUACAGAAUGAACAAAAACUAGUUAAGGGUGAAGUGACGAUGUGUGUUGGAAGUAGUUCCAAGAUUGAUAUGAUCAUCAUCGUACACUCCCUAUACUUUCGGGAUUAGUGUUGAACCUAAAAUAAAUGUUAUUUGGUGUUUGCGUUGAGCAUGAAUAUGAUUGGAUCAUGUUUAUUGCAAUACGGUUAUUCAUUUAAGUCAAAGAAUAAUUGUUGUUCUAUUUACAUGAAUAAAACCUUCUAUGGUCAUACACUCAAUAUAAAUGGUUUAUUGAAUCUCGAUCUUAGUGAUACACAUAUUCAUAAAUAUUGAAGCCAAAAGAUGCAAAGUUAAUAAUGAUAGUGCAACUUAUUUGUGGCACUGCCGUUUAGGUCAUAUUGGUGUAAAGCGCAUGAAGAAACUCCAUACUGAUGGGCUCUUUAAAUAACUUGAUUAUGAAUCACUUGAUGCUUGCGAACCAUGCCUCAUGGGCAAGAUGACUAAGACUCUGUUCUCCAGAACAAUGGAGCGAGUCACUGACUUAUUGGAAAUAAUACAUACCGAUGUAUGCAGUCCAAUGAGUGUUGAGGCUCACGGCGGGUAUCAUUGUUUUCUGACCUUCACAGAUGAUUUGAGCAGAUAUGUGUAUAUCUACUUGAUGAAACAUAAGUCUGAAACAUUUGAAAAGUUCAAAGAAUUUCAGAGUGAAGUGGAAAAUCAUCAUAACAAGAAAAUAAAGUUUCUACGAUCUGAUCGCGGAGACGAAUAUUUGAGUUACGAGUUUGGCCUUCAAUUAAAACAAUGUGGAAUAGUUUGGCAAACUCAUGCAACCUGGAACACCACAGCAUAAUGGUGUGUCUGAACGUCAUAACCGUACUUUAUUGGAUAUAGUGCAAUCUAUGAUGUCUCUUACCGAUUUACCACUAUCGUUUUGGGGUUAUGCAUUAGAGACAGCUUCAUUCACGUUAAAUAGGGCACCAUCUAAAUCCGUUGAGACGACACCUUAUGAACUGUGGUUUGGCAAGAAACCCAAGUUGUCGUUUCUUAAAGUUUGAGGCGGCGAUGCUUAUGUGAAAAAGCUUCAACCUGAUAAGCUCGAACCCAAAUCAGAGAAAUGUGUCUUCACAAGAUACCCAAAAGAGACGGUUGGGUACACCUUCUAUCACAGAUCCGAAGGCAAGAUCUUUGUUGCUAAGAAUGGAUCCUUUCUGGAGAAGGAGUUUCUCUCGAAAGAAGUGAGUGGGAGGAAGGUAGAACUUGAUGAGGUAAUUGUACCUUCUCCCGAAUUGGAAAGUAUUUCUUCACUGAAAUCAGUUCAAGUGAUGCUUACACCAAUUAGUGAGGAAGUUAAUGAUGAUGAUCAUGAAGCUUCGGAUCAAGUUACUACCAAACCUCGUAGGUCAACCAGAGUACAUUCCGCAGCGGAGUGGUACGGUAAUCCUAUUCUGGAGUUCAUGUUACUUGACCAUGAUGAACCUACGAACUAUGAGGAAGCGAUGAGAUGGGAUCCAUGUAUGAGAACAAAGUGUGGACUUUGGUUAACUUGCCCGAUGAUCGGCAAGCCAUCGAGAAUAAAUGGAUCUUCAAGAAGAAGACUGACGCUGACGGUAAUGUUACUGUCUACAAAGCUCGACUUGUUGCGAAAGGUUUUCGACAAGUUCAAGGAGCUGACUACGAUGAGACAUUCUCACCCAUAGUGAUUCUUAAGUCCGUCCGAAUCAUGUUAGCAAUUGCUGCAUUUUAUGAUUAUGAAAUUUGGCAAAUGGAUGUAAAGACUGCAUUCCUGAAUGGAUUUCUGGAAGAAGAGUUGUAUAUGAUGCAACCUGAAGGUUUUAUCGAUCCAAAGGAUGCUAACAAAGUGUGCAAGCUUCAGCGAUCCAUUUAUGGAUUGGUGCAAGCAUCUCGGAGUUGGAAUAAACGUUUUGAUAGUGUGAUCAAAGCAUAUUGUUUUAUACAGACUUGCGAUGAAGCCUGUAUUUACAAGAAAGUGAGUGGGAGCACUACAACCUUUCUGAUAAGUAUAUGUGAAUGACAUAUUGUUGAUCGGAAAUGAUGUAGAAUUUUCUGGAAAGCAUAAAAGGAGUGUUUGAAAGGAGUUUUUCAAAGAAAGACCUCGAUGAAGAUGCUUACAUAUUGAGCAUCAAGAUCUAUAGAGAUAGAUCAAGACGCUUGAUAAGUUUUUUCAAUGAGUACAUACCUUGACAAAUUUUUGAAGUAGUUCAAAAUGGAACAGUCAAAGGAGUUCUUGCCUGUAUUGCAAGGUGUGAAAUUGAGUAAGACUCAAAGCCCGACGACGGCAGAAGAUAAAAAGAGAAUGAAUGUCAUUCCCUAUGCCUCAGCCAUAGGUUCUAUAAAGUAUGCCAUGCUGUGUACCAGAUCUAUUGUAUACCCUACACUGAGUUUGGCAAGGGAGUACAAUAGUGAUCUAGGAGUAGAUCACUGGACAUCGGUCAAAAUUAUCCUUAGUGGAAUAAGGAUAUGUUUCUCGAUUAUGGAGGUGACAAAAGGUUCGUCGUAAAGGGUUACGUCGAUGCAAGUUUUGACACUGAUCCAGAUGACUCUAAGUCUCAAUCUGGAUACAUGUUGAAAGUGGGAGCAAUUAGCUAGAGUAGCUCCGUGCAGAGCAUUGUUGACAUAGAAAUUUGCAAAAUGCAUACAGAUCUGAAUAUGGCAGACCCAUUGACUAAACUUCUCUCACAAACAAAACAUGAUCACACCUUAGUACUCUUUGGGUGUUAAUCACAUGGCAAUGUGAACUAAGAUUACUGACUCUAGUAAACCCUUUGAGUGUUGGUCACAUGGCGAUGUGAACUAUGGGUGUUAAUCACAUGGUGAUGUGAACUAUUGGUGUUAAAUCACAUGGCGAUGUGAACUAGAUUAUUGACUCUAGUGCAAGUGGGAGACUGAAGGAAAUAUGCCCUAGAGGCAAUAAUAAAGUUAUUAUUUAUUUCCUUAUUUCAUGAUAAAUGUUUAUUAUUCAUGCUAGAAUUGUAUUAACCGGAAACUUAGUACAUGUGUGAAUACAUAGACAAAACAAAGUGUCCCUAGUAUGCCUCUACUUGACUAGCUCGUUUAUCAAAGAUGGUUAUGUUUCCUAAACAUAGACAUGUGUUGUCACUUGAUGAACGGGAUCACAUCAUUAGGAGAAUGAUGUGAUGGACAAGACCCAUUCGUUAGCUUAGCAUUAUGAUCGUUAUAGUUUCAUUGCUAUUGCUUUCUUCAUGACUUAUACAUGUUCCCCAGACUAUGAGAUUAUGCAACUCCCGAAUACUGGAGGAACACCUUGUGUGCUAUCAAACGUCACAACAUAACUGGGUGAUUAUAAAGAUUCUCUACAGGUGUCUCCGAAGGUGUUUGUUGGGUUGGCAUAGAUCGAGAUUAGGAUUUGUCACUCCGUGUAUCGGAGAGGUAUCUCUGGGCCCUCUCGGUAAUGCACAUCACUAUAAGUCUUGCAAGCAAUGUGACUAAUGCGUUAGUUGCGGGAUGAUGCAUUACGGAACGAGUAAAGAGACUUGCCGGUAACGAGAUUGAACUAGGUAUGAUGAUACCGAUGAUCGAAUCUCGGGCAAGGAACAUACCGAUGACAAAGGGAACAACGUAUGUUGUUAUGCGGUUUGACCGAUAAAGAUCUUCGUAGAAUAUGUGGGAGCCAAUAUGAACAUCCAGGUUCCGCUAUUGGUUAUUGACCGGAGAUGAGUCUCGGUCAUGUGUACAUAGUUCUCGAACCCGUAGGGUCCGCACGCUUAACGUUCGGUGACGAUCGGUAUUAUGAGUUUAUGUGUUUUGAUGUACCGAAGGUUGUUCGGAGUACCGGAUGUGAUCACGGAUAUGACGAGGAGUCUUGAAAUGGUCGAGACAUAAAGAUUGAUAUAUUGGAAGGUUAUAUUCGGACACCGGAAGGGUUCCGGAGGUCACCGGAUAAAUACCAGAGUACCGGGAGGUUACCGGAAACCCCCCGGGGGUCAAUGGGCCUUCAUGGGCCUUAGUGGAAAUAGAGGGCAGCAAGGGAAGUGUGGGGCGCGCCCCCUAGGCCCAAACCGAAUUGGUUUAGGGUUUGGGGGGCCGGCCCCCUCUUUCCGUCUCCCCUCCUCCUCUUUCCUUCCCCUCCUAGGUGGACUAGGAAAAGGGGAACCUACUCCUAGUAGGAGUAGGAUUCCCCCCCUUGGGGCGCACCCUAUGAGGCCGCUGGCCCCCUCCCCUUGCUCCUUUAUAUACGGGGGAGGGGGGCCCCCCUAGGACACACAAGUUGAUUAUUGAUCUCUUAGCCGUGUGCGGUGUCCCCCUCCACCAUAAUCCACCUCGAUCAUAUCGUUGCAGUGCUUAGGCGAAGCCCUGCGCCGGCAGCUUCAUCAUCACCAUCAUCACGCCGUCGUGCUGACGAAGCUCUUCCUCGACAGUCAGCUGGAUCGAGAGUUCGUGGGAUGUCAUCGAGCCAAACGUGUGCAGAUCACGGAGCUGCCGUACUUUCGGUACUACGAUCGGUCGGAUCGCGAAGACGUACGACUACAUCAACCACGUUGUCAUAAUGCUUCCGCUUACGGUCUACGAGGGUACAUGGACUACACUCUCCCCUCUCGUUGCUAUGCAUCACCAUGAUCUGGCGUGUGCGUAGGAUUUUUUUGAAAUUACUACGUUCCCCAACAUGAAGAACUCUGUCAAUGACACUAUCAUCAGGAAGAUUAACUCCCAGCUGAGUCAAGUGGUUAUGGAACCUAGACAUUCUGAGUAUGUGUUCACUGAUAGAACUAUUCUCCUCCAUCUUGCAGCUAUAGAACUUGUUGGAGACUUCAUAUCUCUCAACUCGGGAAUUUGCUUGAAAUAUUAAAUUCAACUCUUGGAACAUCUCAUAUGCUCCAUGACGUUCAAAACGUCUUUGACGUCCCGAUUCUAAGCCGUAAAGCAUGGCACACUGAACUAUCGAGUAGUCAUCAGCUUUAGUUUGCCAGAUGUUCAUAACAUCCAGAGUUGCUCCUGCAGUGGGCCUUGCACCUAGUGGUGCUUCCAGGACGUAAUUCUUCUGUGCAACAAUGAGGAUAAUCCUCAAGUUACGGACCCACUCCGUGUAGUUGCUACCAUCAUCUUUCAACUUAGCUUUCUCUAGGAACGCAUUAAAAUUCAAGGGAACAGUAGCACGGGCCAUUGAUAUACAACAACAUAGAUAUGCAAAAAAAAACUAUCAGGACUAAGUUCAUGAUAAAUUAAAGUUCAACAUAUUACUUAAGAACUCCCACUUAGAUAGACAUCCCUCUAGUCAUCUAAAUGAUCACAUGAUCCAUAUCAACUUAACCAUGUCCGAUCAUCACGUGAGAUGGAGUAGUUUUCAAUGGUGAACAUCUUUAUGUUGAUCAUAUCUACUAUAUGAUUCACGUUCAACCUUUCGGUCUCAGUGUUCCGAGGCCAUAUCUGCAUAUGCUAGGCUCAUCAAGUUUAACCCGAGUAUUCUGCACGUGCAAAACUGGCUUGCACCCGUUGUAUGUGAACGUAGAGCUUAUCACACCCAAUCAUCAUGUGGUGUCUCGGCACGACGAAUUGUAGCAACGGUGCAUACUCAGGGAGAACACUUAUACCUUGAAAUUUAGUGAGGGAUCAUCUUAUAAUGCUACCGCCGUACUAAGCAAAAUAACAUGCAUAAAAGAUAAACAUCACAUGCAAUUAAAAUAUGUGACAUGAUAUGGCCAUCAUCAUCUUGUGCCUUUGAUCUCCAUCUCCAAAGCACCGUCAUGAUCUCCAUCGUCACCGGCUUGACACCUUGAUAUCCAUCAUAGCGUCAUUGUCGUCUCGCCAACUGUUGCUUCUACGACUAUCACUACCGCAUAGUGAUAAAGUAAAGCAAUUACAUGGCGAUUGCAUUUCAUACAAUAAAGCGACAACCCUAAGGCUCCUGCCAGUUGCCGAUAACUUUUACAAAACAUGAUCAUCUCAUACAAUAACUUAUAUCGCAUCAUGUCUUGACCAUAUCACAUCAUAACAUGCCCUGCAAAAACAAGUUAGACGUCCUCUACUUUGUUGUUGCAAGUUUUACGUGGCUGCUACGGGCUUCUAGCAAGAACCGUUCUUACCUACGUAUCAAAACCACAACGAUUUUUUGUCAAGUGUGCUAUUUUAACCUUCAACAAGGACCGGCCAUAGUCAAAUUCGAUUCAAAUAAAGUUGGAGAAACAGACACCCGCCAGCCACCUGUGUGCAAAAGCACAUCGGUAGAACCGGUCUCAUGAACGUGGUCAUGAAAUGUUGGUCCGGGCCACUUCAUCCAACAAUACUGCCGAAUCAAAAUAAGACGUUGGUGGUAAGCAGUAUGACUAUUAUCGCCCACAACUCUUUGUGUUCUACUCGUGCAUAUCAUCUAUGCAUAGACCUGACUCUGAUACCACUGUUGGGGAACGUAGCAUGCAAUUUCAAAAAUUUUCCUACGAUCACGCAAGAUCUAUCUAGGAGAUGCAUAGCAACAAGAGGGGAGAGUGUGUCCAUGUACCCUCAUAGACCGAAAGCGGAAGCGUUAGGUUAACGCGGUUGAUGUAGUCGAACAUCUUCACGAUCCAACCGAUCUAGUAUCGAACGUACGACACCUCCGAGUUCAGCACACGUUCAGCUCGAUGACGUCCCUCGAACUCUUGAUCCAGUAGAGGGUUGAGGGAGAGUUCCAUCAGCACGACAGUGUGGUGAUGGUGAUGGUGAUGUGAUCCACGCAGGGCUUCGCCUAAGAACUACGACGCUAUGACCGGAGGCGUAAACUGUGGAGGGGCACCGCACAUGGCUAAGAGAACAAUUGAUGUGCUAUGGGGUGCCCCCUGCCCCCGUAUAUAGAUGAGGGGAAGAGGAGGCGGCCGGCCAAGAGGGGUGCGCCAUGGGGGGAGUCCUACUAGGACUCCACUCCUAGUAGGAUUCGCUCCCCCCUUUUCCUUUCUUACCGGAGGGGAAAAGGAAGGAGAAGCAGAGGGAGAGGGAAAGGGAAGGGGGGGGGCUGCCCCCUCCCCUAGUCCAAUUCGGACUGCCAUGGGGGGGGGUGGCGUCCACCCCUUGCGGCCCUCCUCUCUCUCCACUAAGGCCCAUGUAGGCCCAAUACUUCCCCCGGGGGGUUCCGGUAACCCCUCGGUACUCCGGUAAAAUACCCGAACCACUUGAAACCAUUCCGAUGUCCGAAUACUACCUUCCAAUAUAUGAAUCUUUUCCUCUCGAGCAUUUCGAGACUCCUCAUCAUGUCCGUGAUCUCAUCUGGGACUCUGAACAAACUUUGGUCACCAAAACACAUAACUCAUAAUACAAAUCGUCAUCGAACGUUAAGCGUGCGGACCCUACGGGUUCGAGAACUAUGUAGACAUGACCGAGACACUUCUCCGGUCAAUAACCAACUGCGGAACCUGGAUGCUCAUAUUGGUUCCUACAUAUUCUACGAAGAUCUUUAUCGGUCAAACUGCAAUAACAACAUACAUUAUCCAUUUGUCAUCGGAAUGUUACUUGCCCGAGAUUCGAUCAUCGAUAUCAUUAUACCUAGCUCAAUCUCGUUACCGACAAGUCGCUUUACUCGUUUCGUAAUGCAUCAUCCCGCAACUGACUCAUUAGUCACAUUGCUUGCAAGGCUUAUAGUGAUGUGCAUUAUCGAGAGGGCUCAGAGAUACCUCUCCGAUACUCGGAGUGACAAAUCCUAAUCUCGAUCUAUGCCAACCCAAUAAACACCUUCGGAGACACCUGUAGAGCAUCUUUAUAAUCACCCAGUUACGUUGUGACGUUUGAUAGCACACAAGGUGUUCCUCCGGUAUUCGGGAGUUGCAUAAUCUCGUAGUCAGAGGAAUAUGUAUAAGUCAUGAAGAAAGCAAUAGCAAUAAAACUUAAUGAUCAUUAUGCUAAGCUAAUGGAUGGGUCUUGUCCAUCACAUCAUUCUCUAAUGAUGUGAUCCCGUUCAUCAAAUGACAACACAUGUCUAUGGUCAGGAAACUUAGCCAUCUUUGAUUAACGAGCUAGUCAAGUAGAGGCAUACUAGGGACACUCUGUUUUGUCUAUGUAUUUACACAUGUACUAAGUUUCCGGUUAAUACAAUUCUAGCAUGAAUAAUAAACAUUUAUCAUGAUAUAAGGAAAUAUAAAUAACAACUUUAUUAUUGCCUCUAGGGCAUAUUUCCUUCAGGCUUUUCAUUUCAAGGCUGUAAUACCUCUUCCACAGGGAGCUGAGCCGAGGUCUUGUAGAUAGACAGGCUUCCUUACACUAGAAAAAAAUACACUUCCAUGAUGAUACGUGUUUGUCACAGUAGGUCGCAUUUUUUGUCAUGCAUGUACAUCCAUGACAAUUUUAUGACAGAAUCAAGAUAGUCAUACCUGUGCUGUCGUAGAAGUGUUCCAUGACAUUACCAAAAUUAUCAUCACGGAAGUGUCCACUUCCAUGACGAUAAAUCGCGCGUCACAGAAGUGCUUUCGUCAAGGGUGACCGACAUGUGGCAUCCACCGUAACAGAACACCGUUAAGCUAUCGGGUCCGGUUUUGGAUCCGAUAACCCGCUAACAGCCCCGACCAAUGGGGAUUUUCCACAUGUAAAAUCAUCAUUGGCUGGAGGAAACACGUGUCAGCUCACCGUUGGGACAGAUGUCAUCCACUCAUUGGACCCAAAGCGCCUACGAUACGUCAACAUGUGGCACGGCCCAACAGAGGCCCAUUCCUGUGAAAAGGCCGGCCCGUUUGACUUGGUCAAAAGGUGGCGGGCCGGCCCAUGGCAAGCCUGUUAACGGCCUGUUCGCAUAUAGCCCAUUUACAGCCCGCUAACCCAGGGCCCGUUUAUGGCCUAUCCGAAUUAGGCCCAGUAGCGUCGUCUGGGCCGUCUAAUAUAAUUCCAGCCCAUUUUAACUUCCGGCCCAUGUAUGGCCCAUGACGUAUUUUGGCCCAUUUGAGGCCCUUAGUAACCCUCGGCCCGUUAACAGCCCGUGGUAAAACUGGCCCGUGAUGAACAGUGUAUCACUUUAUACCCAUUGACGGCCCAUUAUACCGUUGGGCCGUUUCCAACCCAUGUUAUGUUUCGGCCUUCUCAGGGCCCAUUUAUUCUUGGGCUCAUUUCCAGCAUUCGUUUACUUACGGCCCGUUACAGGUCUUUUCUGCUUGUGGGCCAAAUUCAACCCGUGGAUACAGUCAGCCCAUUUGUGGCCUGUUAAUCUGUUGGGCCAUUUUCAUAGCAUCAUCAAAUACGGCCGUUUAACGGCCUGUUAUGGUCAGCCCAUAAAACGUACGAUUUCCACUCUAGCCUGUUUACGACCCCUUGUACGGCCCGUACAAGGCCCAUAGAUGAGAUGACCCGUAGAAGGCCCAUUGACCCGACGACCCACAGAAGGCCCAUUGACCCGACGACCCACAGAAGGCCCACAGAAAGCUGUUAGAUCUAGAAGAAACAUCGUCCUUGUAGUUUUUGCCAGCUGCAUAACAGGUAAAAGCGACCUGUUAGUAUAUUUGAAGUACAUUGGGCAGGUGAUGCUGGACGGGUUUAAAGGUGACAAGUACCUAGGCCGUGGCGGGUGCUUGGCAUCUUGCCAGUCGGUGGGAAUCAGGUUAGAAACGUCAAGGGUGAUGAUGCUGCGCUGGCUGUCGGGGUCCGGUAAGGAGAUCUAGAACCGUCGAGUAGGGUAUUUGUGGAGCGGCUCCGGUAGGGUGGACUACGGUGUGGGCAAAGCGGAUAUGUGGCCGUGGACGAGGGCAUAGGUGAAGCUGCUCCGGUGGUUGGGUUAAGGAUGGUGUCGACGAUGCUGAUCUGCGGCCGUGGACGGGGCGUCAGAAGCUGCUCCGGUAGGUUGGAUGAGGGUGCGAGGAAGCUGAUCUGAGGCCGUGGACUUGUGAGUUGGCAAAGCGGCCCCAGUAGGGUUGAAAAUGGUAUAGGCGAAGCUACUCCGGUGGGGUUGACGAUGUUGUCGGCGAAGCGGCUCCGGUAGGGUUGAGGAAGGUGUCGGCGAAGAGGAUCAGAGGCUGUCGACGGGGGCGGCGGUGGGGCAGCUCCGGGGGAGGGGUGUGGACGAAGCGUCUCCGGUGGGGAGUACGAAUGAGCCGCUGCAGAUGCGCUGCGGUUGACGAGAGUAUCGACGAAGCAGAUCCGGCGCCAUGGACAAGGCCGACACUGAAUGGGCUGUGGUACAGUGGUGGAUGAGCAGUCUACUUGUUUCUAGGGGAGGUGGGAGGGGUAGAUGCGGCCGCAGAAGCAGAUCCGGUGAGGUGGACGCCGCUGGCAGUGAAUGGGCUCUGGUACGCUGGUGGAUGAGCAGUCUAGGGUUUCGAGAGGGAAGGGGAGAAAGGCCGAUGAAGUACGGACGGCGUGAUGUGAGAUGCUCUGGUGCUGUGGAGUUAGUCGUUUUUGUGGGAGGGGGAGAGGAAAUGGGGGUGCCGUGUAGUGGGGGGAACCAGAAGUUACCAAACCAGCCCCGACCUAUUAUGUAGAUGAGGGCGGUAUUGUAACUGUUGGUCUCUGUGCACCAAGGACAAAAGGGGAAUUUCGCAUGCUAAAGACUAAGGUGUCGGAAAUUUUAGAAGGAGGCGGGAGAGUUUGCCGCCCGCGGGAUCGUUCGUAUCCAGUUUCAACUAAUUUUGGACCGUGCUAGCGGGAAGGUCAUGCGAGACUUUGUACACGAGGCACGCGUCAGCAGUUAAUAACUGGUGUGUCCACCCCAGAAAAAAAGACAAUAACGCGGGAUGAUGCGCCGAUAACUUGGACGUUCACACGGGCGCGGCCAAUCGUACGGGUGUAGUGGCGCGUUCACAAAAAGGGAUCAAACGCUCAGCCUAUGUAUUUCUCGUGUAAAUAGAUAAUUUAGUGCAACUGGUUAUUUACUUUAAACAUAAUGCAUUGACGUGUUAGUGUAGAGGCGCAGAAAAAGAAGUCUGCUACUUAAAAGUGUUACCUCAUAUGAUUACAUAGCCUCCAUUUCAUAAAUUGCGUACCCGUUGAAUUCAUAUAUGAAUAUUACAUAUAUUACUUCAUAACAGAACCUUAAAUCAUCCAAGACUAAUGAUUUUGAAUGCAAGAGUAACAAUGGUGCAUGUACAUGAUAGCUACAUUGAUUGUUUGAAGAAACAUCACUGUAACUUUGGCAUGCACAACUGAAAAGGUUUAUUUAAAUAGAAAAAAUGUGAUAUGUGAGUGUCCAAUCUUUAUAGCGUUGAACCGAUAUUGUACCUUUGGCCACAAUACGAAGUAGAUAUUGAUUUAUGUUCAAGCAAUGCAUGUCCACGAUCGCUAGAUAGUGUUACGUGAAUGAAUUGUGCAACCUCUCUCACACGCAUACGUAUCUCAUUUCCCUGUGGUCAUCGGAAUCACACACGCGCACUUCGUGUAUUUCUCUCCCUUCGUCAAGGUUAGAAUUCGUCUUUCUACCCCGUCCUACAAGUCUCUCACACAGAAACACACAGGCUCUCUCUGUCGAACACGCUCACCCCUUUAAUUCCGCCCACCCGCAGCCACUAAUGUCUCAAAGUAUUAUAAUGUCUCUCACACAUAUGCCUAAGGUUAACUCGAGUUCCGGAACCAUAUGAAUACAUACAAUGGGAUUCCAACAGAGCACCUUUUGUUUUGAGAUUUUGCUCUCUCUCUCUCUCUCUCUCCAACACAUUGUUUCUUGCUUCAUUUUUUCCGGCACUUGCAUGCACACAAUUUUGUUUAUCUUCAUGAUGCUUUAAGUAUGCCUCACACAAAUGCUAUCUACCUAUCCCUUAAUAUAGCUAGAUAUGUGUCACACAAACUCCUCCCUACUAGCAAGAUGCCCAUGCGUUGCACCGAACAUCAAGAUGCAUUUGUAUGAGUAGUUUAUCUUGUGGGAGAAAAGGAUGAACGAGGGAAUGCCUUAUUUGCAAAUGCGGAGAGGGGUGUGGGUAUCUUUUUUGCAAAAUUGCCACAGUUUCCUUCCUAUCCGUCGGGUAUAAAUCGGAUGGCCUAUAUUGCAGGAUGGCAGGAACACCAUGUGACGCCUGGAUAUUUAAGCUACAGCGAACCUCUGCUAAUGAUGCCACGUCACCUCGAUUACUGUUCUUAAUCUCGUGUUAGUUCGAAACCGAUUCAAAUUCGAAAUCAGAAUUAAAGUCAAACGAUAAAAGUUUUCAAACAUAAAAACUGAAAUGUUCCUCAUGUGGAAAAUAUUCAUUUGUUAAUAUUGGUGGUGAACCAACAUAAAAAAAAGUGUUUAAAUGCCCUAAACUAUCCAAAACUAUGGCAAACAACCCUAAAUUUUAUCAUUCUAUUUAAGCAAAAUUUCAAAUGAAUUCAAAUACCUCUCAAACUUUUUGUGGGAGUGCCUAAAAAUGCAACAACAAUUUUGGACCAAGUUCCAUAUUUUGCAAAAAUCAUUUGAUGGCUUAGUUAAAUACAAGCAGUGCAUAUUAAAAGAAAAGGCAGAAAACAGAAAAAUUUUAGAAAAGGAAAAGCGGUAGAGGAACUGCUACUGCUGCACCGGGCCCUAGUGGCUACAGCGCAUGCCCAGCCCAUCCCCGGUCAUCCCCUUGCUCUCUGUUCACCAGGCACCCCGUGGACGCAGGAGCAUCGUCCAUGGCCGGAUAGCCACGGGGCGGCCAUCCCGCGCCUCCCCGCCGUCUCCCUGCGUUGGAUAAGAAUGCCCCGCACCCCCUCUGUCAACCCUAGGUCGCUAAUCCCUUUCUCCCCCUCGCUCACUCGCUCUCCCGACCCGGAGCUCACAUUCGAGCUGCCGUCGCCGCGUCGACGUCGAUGCCGUGCACCGGAGCCUCCCCGCGGCGCCAGAAGCUUCCCACGAGACGGGCCCCUUCGUCGUCGUUCUCUACGGCAACCAGCUCUUGCUGGAGCGACCCGGAGCCGCCGCCAUCGACCCCUCCUCUUCGACCAUGGACGUCUGCUCCGCCUCGUCGAUCUGCUACCUCCGGUCCUCCCCGAAGCACCCCGAGCUCGCCAUCGCCUUCCCCUCGGUGAGCCGCACCCAUUCCCCCCUUUUCCCCCUCGGAUUUGUUGUCGUAUGAGCCCCACCCCCGAGCUCCUGCCGCCAUGACCGAGGCUUGGUCCCGGCCGCGCCCCUCGUCGGUGUUGCUCCUGCUGUGUCGCCUCGCUCGUGCGCGCCUUUGCCUAGCUCCGCCGCACCCCACGGUUGUGACUGCGCCCGCUGCUGCCCGAGCUUACGGCCCCGCCUUCCCUCCCGCACGCCCGAGCACGGCAGCAGCGCCGCCGCCGCCGCAUCACUUGCCCCCCCGCCUUAGCCGCCUGUCCGCGUCGCCGGCACCUAACUGCGUCCGCCGCCGCUCCCACUGCGUCCAGGCCGGGCCCCGUCCCGCGCGUGGCCUCGCCUUCCCGCCGGCUGCUCCUGUUGUUGGCCAUGGCCGGCCAUGGCCAAGCGGCCAUGCGCGCAUGUGUGAGUGCGUUCUGUGUGGUGUGCGUGCGUGCCUGUUCUGGGUAUGAGCCCUAUCCAGAUUAGUUAGUACUACUAAUUAGAUUAGUUUAGGGCUGCUACUUUAUAUGUUAAUUAAAUAGCUAUGGUUUUGUGACAGGUGGUCCCUCACACUAAAUAACCCAUUAGUUAAAAGGCCAGUCAAUGACAUCUGGGACCAACUAUUAGAUUAAUAUGCUAAAAUUAGAUUAAAAGAUCUAAGUCAAUGACACGCGGGACCCGCUUACACUAUUCAUAUGUUGACCAGUCAACCUUUGACUGGGUCAACCCAGCUCACUGGUCCCACCUGCAAGCCACUGUGGCUAGCCAUAGUUGGGUACACAUAGCAGUUUUGCUAUUGUUUUUGAAUUAUUAAUGAACUCGAGAAAAGCUUUAAAACUUUGAAAAUCAUAGAAAAUAACCCGUAACCCGGAUGAAAAUACUUUGUACAUGAAAGUUGCUCAGAACGAUGAGACGAAUCUGGUUAUGCAGCCCGUUCGUCCACCACAUAUCCCUAGCAUAGCAAACGUGCAACAAUCCCCCUCCGGUUCGUCUGUCCGAAAACGUCAAACACCGGGAAUACUUUCCCGGAUGUUUUCCCCCUUUGUCAGUAGCACCUACUACUACGUUAGGGCAUACCUAGCACUGCGUAUUACCUCAUCAUGUUUUGUGAUGCUUUGUUUGCUCCGUAUUUACUGUUUCUUCCCCCCUCUUCUCUCCGGUAGACUACGAGACCGACGCCGCUGCUGGUGCCCCGUCCGACUACGCUGUUGACUACCCCUCCUUCUUGCCAGAGCAAUCAGGCAAGCCCCCCCUUGAUCACCAGAUAUCGCCUAUUCUUCUCUAUACUGCUUGCAUUAGAGUAAUGAAGCUUGUUACUGCUUUCGGUUAAUCCUAUUCUGCUGCAUAGCCUGUCAUUGUUGCUACAGUUGUUACCUUUACCUGCAAUCCUACAUGCUUAGUAUAGGAUGCUAGUGUUCCAUUAGUGGCCCUACACUCUUGUCCGUCUGCCUUGUUAUACUACUAGGCCGUGAUCACUUCGGGAGGUGAUCACGGGUAUAUACUAUAUACUUUAUAUACAUGACACAUGUGGUGACUAAAGUCGGGUCGGCCCGUUGAGUACCCGCAAGUGAUUCUGAUGAGGGGGCUGAAAGGACAGGUGGCUCUAUCCCGGUAGAGGUGGGCCUGGGUUCCUGACGGCCCCCGACUGUUACUUUAUGGCGGAGCGACAGGGCAGGUUGAGACCACCUAGGAGAGAGGUGGGCCUGGCCCUGGUCGGCGUUCGCGGAUACUUAACACGCUUAACGAGAUCUUGGUAUUUGAUCUGAGUCUGGCCAUUUGGUCUAUACGCACUAACCAACUACGCGGGAACAGUUAUGGGCAUUCGACGUCGUGGUAUCAGCCGAAGCCUUCGUGACGUCAGCGACUGAGUGGCGCGCGCCGGAUUGGACUGGAACGCCUGCUAGGCUAGGUCUGCUUCCGGCCACGUUCGCAACGUGCAGGUGUGCAAUGGGCGAUGGGCCCAGACCCCUGCGCCAUAGGAUUUAGACAAGCGUGCUGACCUCUCUAUUGUGCCUAGGUGGGGCUGCGACGUGUUGAUCUUCCGAGGCCGGGCAUGACCCAGGAAAGUGUGUCCGGCCAAAUGGGAUCAAGCGUGUUGGGUUAUGUGGUGCACCCCUGCAGGGAAGUUUAUCUAUUCGAAUAGCCGUGUCCCUCGGUAAAAGGACGACCCGGAGUUGUACCUUGACCUUAUGACAACUAGAACUGGAUACUUAAUAAAACACACCCUUCCAAGUGCCAGAUACAACCAGGUGAUUGCCCUCUAACAGGGCGACGAGGAGGGUAUCGCCGGGUAGGAUUUUGCUAUACGAUGCUACUUGGUGAACUUCAAUCUACUCUCUUCUACAUGCUGCAAGAUGGAGGCUGCCAGAAGCGUAGUCUUCGACAGGAUUAGCUAUCCCCCUCUUAUUCUGGCAUUCUGCAGUUCAGUCCACCGAUAUGGCCCUUUACACAUAUACCCAUGCAUAUGUAGUGUAGUUCCUUGCUUGCGAGUACUUUGGAUGAGUACUCAUGGUUGCUUCUCUCUCUCUUUUCCCCCUUUCCUUUCUACCUGGUUGUCGCAACCAGAUGCUGGAGUCCAGGAGCCAGACGCCACCGUCGACGGCGACUCCUACGACACUGGAGGUGCCUACUACUACGUGCAGCCCGCUGACGACGACCAGGAGUAGUUAGGAGGAUCCCAGGCAGGAGGCCUACGCCUCUUUCGAUCUUUAUCCCAGUUUGUGCUAGCCUUCUUAAGGCAAACUUGUUUAACUUAUGUCUGUACUCAGAUAUUGUUGCUUCCGCUGACUCGUCUAUGAUCGAGCACUUGUGUUCGAGCCCUCGAGGCCCCUGGCUUGUAUUAUGAUGCUUGUAUGACUUAUUUAUGUUUUAGAGUUGUGUUGUGAUAUCUUCCCGUGAGUCCCUGAUCUUGAUCGUACACAUUUGCGUGCAUGAUUAGUGUACGGUCAAAUCGGGGGCGUCACACACCAUCAUCACCAACUCUUUUUUUAUAAGAGUAGGGAUAUGUAAGUGUCACUACCCCCCCGCCCCCCCGACACACACACCCACACCCACACAACCACACACACACACUUCCCAACACCGAAGGAGUAGGGUGACACCUCGAUCUUGAUACUAAUCUAUCGACUGGCUUCUCUCUCAAACAAACACACACGCACACACACUACCCGACACCGAAGGAGUAGGGCGGCACCUCGAUCUUGAUAGUAAUCUAUCUACUCCUCUUUCAAACACACACACACACAUACACACACACUCGCUAGUUGUGCCUUUGUGCCUACCGCGCACACUCUCGAUACGUCUUUCUCUCCCUCCCCCUCCCCCACCCCAACAAUGACAGCAGAAGGGUGACAACUCAAUCUGAUCGUAAUCUGUCAAUUGGUUUCUCUCUCGAACAUUGUGUCUCUGUGCCUCGCUCAGUAGCCCCCUCGAUAUGUAGACUUCUCGCGCGCGCACAGCUGUAGUGACGAUGACGCUGAAUGCAGUGUGCCUCGUUUUUACCAGCCCGAUGUGAUAGUUUUCACCCUGUUUUCUGUUAAUUAACAAGGCAACCUUUUCUUUGUUACUACUAGUGAAUCUGAAAUCAUUCGGGGUAGACAUAAAAUAUAUCACUUCAACCCAAUUAUCGCAGUAACUAUUUUAAAAGAAACUAGCUAGAUGCCCGUGCGUUGCACGAAAAAUCAAGAUGCAUUUGUAUGAGUAGUUUAUCUUGUGAGAGAAAAGGAUGAACGAGGGAAGGCCGUAUUUGCGAACGUGGAGAGGGGUGUGGGUAAAUUUUUGCAAAAUUGCCAUAGUUUUCUUCCUAUCCGUUAGAUAUAAAUCCGACGGCCUAUAUUGCAGGAUGGAACGCACACCAUCAUCACCAACUCUGUUUUCUACUCCCUCCGUUCCUAAAUGUUUGUCUUUUUAGAGAUUUCAACAAGUGACUACAUAUGGAGAAAAAUGAGUGAAUCUACACUCUAAAAUAUGUCUACAUACACAUCCGUAUGUGGUAGUCCAUUUGAAAUCUGAAAAAGACAAAUAUUUAGGAACGGAUGGAGUAUAAGAGUAGACAUGGCGAUAUAUCAGCAGCAUGGUCUACAACAAAAAUGUGCUGGACUGGUUAGCGCCGGAUGCUCGCAACGCGAUGACAUGAGUUCGAAUUCUGUCUUUAACUUUAGAUUUUUAUAUUAUAUAUUACUUAUUUAAUAUAUACUUCUUUCGCUACUGUACUGACAGUGGAACCCAUAGAGUACUUAGAAUACAAGAUUAAGGAUGGACUUGUUUCCUUUUAACUUUCUGUACGAAGCUGUAGCCACCCUGCAAGUCACGUGUACACUGUACAUGCAAUUAACUUUUUAUAGAGGGACAAUCAUACACGCAAUUAACUCAAAUGGAUUGGAUUUCACUCUAUUAUUUCCAGCAUAAGAGCAUCUCCAACGGCAGCUGGCAAAUUUCCUCCCGUUUCAUCUACUAUGCUAGUCCGCAUGAUUAGUUUAAUCUCUGUUAUAGCCAUCAUGAUUUAUUUUGUAGUAAAUCUCGUAGUAACUUGCUCAUAUAUUCAACUGGCGGAACGUCCCCUACAGCCACUCCCGUUUCAUGGACGGCCUGGUCGAUGCCUCCAAGGAGCCCUUCGUCUACUGCUAUGAGUGCCCGGUGCCGUUUUGGGGCUCGCCGGCGGACAUCGUGCAUCACCCGACGCAGGCGUGCGGCAAUCACUACUGGCCCUUGGCGAAGAACAUCAAGUACGAGACGUGCUACCCGUUCAGCGUGCCGGAGUCGCUGGAGGAUCAGCGCCGCCUGCUAGUCUCGGAGGAGGAUGGCAGCAUCUUCCUCUUGAUCGUGGCCACCGGCGAGGCCCGCGCAGGCCACCGCCACAUCUCUGUAGUGUGCGUCAGGGGCGACGCCGCUGAUGCUGACACUGACACGAGGCCGAUGUACGCAUGCGUGCUCACUAUUACUACCCCUCGGAGGUACGUGGCGGCGAUACUGGCUACACCAAGCAUACUUGGACUCUGCCAAGCUGGGACUUUCCCGCCGAUGUGGACAUGGGAAGGGCACGGUGUUAUUUGAACCCCAACGAUGUGCACGGGGACUCCAAGGAGGUUCACCUGGACAUCUGCAUUAUCAAGUUAAAUGUUGAUCAUUAGUCUUCGCUCAAUGUAAUCCGCUGUCUAAGCAUGUGGAGACUUCCAUGCAUGAUCUUGCUCUAUUGGAGUAUCGCGCAUGAAUAAAAGUGUAUCCAUUUAUGGUUUAGUCUAGAAUCCUCCAUGUAUGAAUUUUUACUACAGUACUGGUGAAAGACUUAUGAUGAACUAUUUCUUACAUAUCCUCUGCCCCCUCCCGAGUCAUCCUGAUUUAAUCCCUCCGUCUAGGUGUAUAAGGGCAUGGUUAAUACUUAAAUAGUAUAGCCAACUGUUGACUAUAAGAAAGUGCCAUGUCAUCUGUGGCCAACAUGUAUAAUAAUGGAUACUCAAAAAAUAAUUCUUGAAGAUCAUUUCAUGCAAAGCACAAUAACAGUUAUUUCUUCACAAGUUUUGGAUGCAGGUUGAACAGUUGAACGCUUUUGUUUGCAAAAGAUACUUUUUUAUCUAUUUCACCCAGAUGUUUGUGAGCUCUAGUGAUGAAAUAAUAUCUGAACAAACCUAUCGAUACCCGUUACACGUGAGAUGACCCCCACAUCCUUUGUCAAAAUAAAAAACUCCCCGAUCAAUGCAUUUCACUCUUUCGUGGAACGCACGGGCACCUUACUACUAUAGAUUAGUACGACCAAAAAUUGUACUAACAUUAUAUAUAGUACGAUAAAUGAUGAUGCAUGUCACCUAAAAUUAUAGGAGUAUCAUUGAAAACUAUGUUCAAAUACUAAUCCAACGAUAUUGUUUUUAUUGACAUGCACUAACAUUUUGUUAGUUAAAUCUUCAGUCAAAUUCAAUGGGGGAUAAACCACGACCGAUGUAGUCGUACUAGUGUAGAGGGCGGCGCUGCACGGGAGUCUCACCCUGCUCGUGGCGCGACAGUAAAGCCGUCAUAUCACAAAACCCAACCACUCCCAGUAAUAAGUGGCCUGGUAAAAUAAACGGACAAGCAACCAUCACAUCCCUCCGUCUUUUUUGCAUUUCAUCUCUCUGCAUUUACUUUCUCCGGUUCAUCUCGCACACUCGAUCCCUAGCUACUACUCCUAGUAUCCCUAGCUACUACUCCUAGGGCCAGUUCUUUUGGCGGCUUCCCCAGCUUUUCCCAUAAGACUAGUCACAGUGGAGAGUAACAUUAAGGCGCCUCACUCAUUUAUUUGGGCUUCUAAUCUACUACUAGUAGUACCUCCGUCCUGGUUUAUUCCUCACCAUUGUAAUUUGUGCUAAAUUUUGACCAAAGAUUUAACUGAUAAAAUGUUAGUGCAUGUAACAUGCACUAACAUUUCAUUAGUUAAAUUUAUGAUCAAAAUUUGACACAGAUUACAAUGGGGACCAAUAAACCAGGACGGAGGUAGUAGUUAUGGGAUUACUAAUCUAGAAGCCUAAAAGAACUGGCCCCUGGUACUCCUGCUAGUAGUAGUACUCAAGUUGGAAUUCCAAUUGCACGGCACAACUUGUUAAGCAAAAAAUUUGAUACAGGGUGUAGGAAGCGGUUUGGGAAUUUGCAUGCCUUUCCAACCAGUGAGAUACUCCGUACAAGGUACGACAGAGAAAUAACCACAGAGAAGGAAGCUAAAAGUAAACAAUCAAACGAGCAUUUUUGCAUUUGUUUUGCAUUGAAUCGUUUCACAAGCUUGACUAGUGCUGUUUUUCUACUUUUACAAAAACUGCAUCUUAAUGUUAAAACGUGCAUUUGCACGUACAUAAGUAAUAGUAGUACUCCCUCCGUCUAGGUGUAUAAGUCUUCCCUCCUUCUUAGUCACGGUGCACAACCAAAGGUGACUUAUUGACCUGGAUGGAGGGAGUAGCACUUAUAGUCCACUUCUAAAUAUUUGUCUUUAUAGAGAUUUUUCAAUAAGUGACUACAUACGGAGCAAAAUGAGUGAAUCUACACUUCAAAAUAUGUCUAUAUAAUCCGUAUGUGAUAGUCCAUUUGAAAUCUCUAAAAAGUCAAAUAUUUAGGAACAGAGGGAGUAAUAUAUUAGGAGUAUAUCAAAACAAGAGUGAUUUCUUUCAAGUUUGUGAACAAGUACUACUAUUCUACUACUUUGGAUCCGUCACAACGCACGGGCACAUUGCUAGUAAAAGGAAAAGGCCUGCCGCGUUCGCGUCGCGCUCCCCCCCACACGCCCGGGAAUCGGGAGUACUCCACGGCCCGUCCGGCACGACACAUAGCUUAGGAAAGGCGUGUUGCCUAGCAUUUUCACUUUCAUGUGGGACCGCCGUUGAGCAAACCGACUAUUGGCGAACCGCACCCCGCCUGCCGCCGGGUUGGAAAAUAGAAACGAGGGGAAGAUCUAGCUGUAGGACGAAAGCCAAGAAAUUUGGUGUCAGAUGGGGCUCGUUGAUAGAGUAGGAGCAUUCCGUACUACUCUGCUCCUACUAGUACAAGGUUUGUACUAUACAACUAGUACUACCACUAUACAACUAGUAGGUACGUGCACGGCACAACAUCGUAGGAACAAAAAACGGGAAGAUCUUGUUUUGGGUGAUUUUUUUUCUGUCAAUGUAGUAUGAAUAAUAUGAUGUGGGGGGCACCCAUGAAGCUUAUGUGGCUUGGUUGCAUGGCUACGAAAGGUUAGAGAAAAUAAAUAGAUAAUGUGUUUAGAGUGCACUCCACUAAACAGAUAUACUUUGGAUCCAUUGCAACGGGCCGGCACAUCUAUAUCUAUACCCCCUAUAUAGUGUGUGAAUAACUUUGAAAGUUGGUCGUUGGAUGAAGCCAAUCCGACAGUACAAAGAUGGCAAAUCCGAGCACUACUGGCCAUUGGAUAUCAUCUACAUUCCACCAGAUUCUGCCACAUGUAGAAUCUAGAAGACUCCAUGGUUGAACUUCAUUCAUGACUAACUUUGCCACAACUAAGCUUAGGCAAAGUGUGUCUGAAACAAAAAAUAUGGCUAACAAAAUGGCCACCACAAGUGUGGCAAGAUUUGGCAAGAAGUUGAGUCUAUGACAUGUGGACCAUGUAGCUAGAAAAGUGUGGCAAACCACAAGUGUAGCAAUGAACCAAACACAUGCUUGGUGUGUUUGGUAGGGUGUAUGAAGGGUGCAUGAUCCCAAGAGUUCCCUUCUCGACCCAUUUUUGGGUGUUUGGUAGAGUGUAUGGAGGGUGCAUGAGUCCACACUAGAUUAGCACAAAUACACUAGAAGCAUGCAUGAAGAGAGCAUACAUGAAGAGGGGUGUUGAGUUGAGCAUGCAUGAAGAGGGAACAACUAUGCUGAGACGAGAACGCAACCAAACACACUUGUGGCACGCCUAAGCUUAGGCAUGGCAACCUUAGGCUGUAAACCAAACCAUAACUUUGAAAGUUGGUCGUUGGAUGAAGCCAAUCCAACGGUACAAAGAUGGCAAAUCCGAGCACUACUGGCCGUUGGAUAUCAUCUACAUUCCACCAGAUUCCGCCACAUGUAGAAUCUAGAAGACUCCAUGGUUGAACUUCAUUCAUGACUAACUUUGCCACAACUAAGCUUAUGCAAAGUGUGUCUGCCACAAAAAAUGUGGCUAACAAAAUGGCCACCACAAGUGUGGCAAGAUUUGGCAAGAAGUUGAGUCUAUGACAUGUGGACCAUGUAGCUAGAAAAGUGUGGCAAGCCACAAGUGUAGCAAUGAACCAAACACAUGCCGGCACGCCUAAGCUUAGGCGUGGCAACCUUAGGCUGCAAACCAAACCAAAACUUUGAAAGUUGGUCGUUGGAUGAAGCAAAUCCGACGGUACAAAGAUGGCAAUUCCGAGCACUACUGGCCGUUGGAUAUCAUCUACAUUCCACCAGAUUUUUCCACAUGUAGAAUCUAGAAGACUCCACAUGUAGAAGCAUAAUGCACAAACCACCAUAAUCUCAUGCGUGCAAUGCACAUGUACCUUACUAGUAGUUGGUAGUAGUAAGAAACAAAUUCCGGGUUUGGCACGAGCUCGUACUGCGAGAGCACCACAAGGCCUGCCGCAGGAGUUACAUUUCCCUCUCGGGGCCCACGGGACCAACUUCAGUGGCUUAGUGCCUGACCUAUGAGAGCAAGUACAAUAAGGUGAUGUAGGCGGGCUGUAAGACAUUAAAUAUUAUAUUUUUGCUUAGUUGGACGAGAGAGAAGAUGAAAGAGAAGAGAAGCGGGCUACUAGUUAACAGCCGGCUGCAACACGUGCUCCUAGGCAUUUUAUGAGAGAGCGAGGUGGGUCAUGUAACAACAAAGUAGUACAUAUUAAUAUUCAACUAUUGUACUUGCUGGCUACAAGCUUGGCUAUAUGUGACGUGGCAACAUCAUAUAGCCAGCAGCCGGCUAUAUUAUUAACCAUGCUCUGAGUCAAUGACAUGCGGACAUUAAAUGCAGCUGGCCCACAUGUCAUUCUCAUGGUGGUGGUGUGGUUCGCGACUCACUCGUUCGAGAUGAACCGGCCGGUGGUGGCGUGGCCGUGGCGAUGGUGCCACAGCUGGGCGUCGGGGCGUUAUGAGGCGUAGAUGGCCACAUCGGCGGGUACAACCUAUAGUACAGAAGUACUCCAGCUGAGGAUUGAUGCCCGAGACGAAAUGUGUCACAGCCGCUGGAUGAAAAUUCGAUAGUGCGGGACGUGUGGUGUCAUGGGUUCGUGUGGCGUCGUGGGAAUCGCGUGUGGCUGUGGUAGAAACUUGAUGCUCGCCGCAUUUAAGGUGGCCCACAUGUCAUGCACACAAAGGCAGAGGGGCGGUGCGGCCGAGAGGGGUGAGACGCACGUCGGGGGACGUGCUGCCGUGGGUUGGAGCGGCGUCGUGGGAAUCGCGAGUGGCAGUGGAUGAAGCGUGAUGGUCGCCGUAGUUGAACUUCCAUGGACAAGCUGUCAUGUCUACGGACACAUGCAUUGCAUACCGAUCACUAGAAGGAGUAGUAGAGAAAGCUAGGCGGAUAAAUAGUUCCUUAUAGUCAAGCAGACCCAUGCUACUACUUGUUCCAAAGACAUGCACACCAUCGAAAUAGUCCAUGUAUAUCAAUAUACAUAGAGAGGGAAUAUUUUUUUUUACAAGAGAGGAAAUAGUUCAUCCAUCCAUAAUGCCCUGCUGCUGGUGCAACAUCUUCUUCUUCUUCUUCUUCUUCUUCUUCUUCUUCUUCUUCUUCUUCUUCUUCUUCUUCUUCUUCUUCUUCUUCUUCUUCUUCUUCUUCUUCUUCUUCUUCUUCUUCUUCUUGUUCUCAUUUUCUGUGGGAGACGGCUUCGCAACAAGCUCUCUGGACCUUGCAGCUAUCUCGAAACUCACACGGGCAGCGAGGGCAACAUAUUUUAUCCGCUCGUACGUCAAGGGAUAAUUCUCCCAUUCAGACGACCUUAAUGCCAGCGUCUUGUCACCCUUCUGAAGAUUUGUUCCUAGCACAAAACAUGCUAUGUCGAAUAGGGAUGGUGUCGGUUUAUCACAAUCUUCUACAAGAAUUUUUAUUCUGGUUUGUAGGUUAGCGAUGCUUUUCAAAUCAAGGUUGUACGGCUCCAACUUCUGUUUGUCCCCUGCGAUGGCUGCCCCACAGAAGUAUAUGUCCUCCCGAGACAAGAAAUCGUGAAGCUCACCUGGUAUGGAGGGCGCGUGUAUGAUGUGGUACACCAAAACAUCAUCUUCCAGGCACAGCUGAAGGACAGCGGCGCGUUGGAUCUUCCCAGUGGCACGCUCCGUGUACUCUGUGUCGAGACCGAUGACAUUCAUCUCCACCUUUUGGAGGGAGUUGGAUACAUUGUUGAUGCACUUCCGAACAACCCUUGGGUGGUCGGUGAGUGUGGCAACUAUGCUCAACGAGCCUUCGAUGAGGACAUGUUGGACGCUAAAAACCUGCAUCUCGAUCUCUUUCGCCAUUUGGAACCGCUGGAUCGGAGGGCUAUGGUUUGGAGAAUUAGGAUUAGAUGGCUAAUCUAAAUGAAGAAGAUGAUUAUUUAUAGGGGCUUCGGAAUUACUCCAGGAGGAUGUGAAGAGGUAAAAACAAUGUGAAUGCAGUGUGGUUUGGAUGCAAAUGAAGAUCAAGGAGUAGUGAAAAAGCCGAGGAAAAUCGGUUCCCGAUGGAGAAGUAAAUGGGAGAAGUUAUGUGCAUGCAUGAGGAGAGGUGCUGUGGUUUGACUGCUGCAUGCAAUGGAUUGGACGGGCUCUUCGGUUGCCUUUUCUCUCUCCCACGCGCACAGAGUGGCCCACUUGCAUGCUGCAGUUUAUUGGCUAGAGUCGGGCUGCAGCUACUCAUGCGUACGCUAAUUAAUGCUGUGAAUGCGGGGCAUGGAGGGAAAUGGGCGCAUGCAAAAGGGUAUAUACGCAGACUAAUUAGAGAAAUACUGAAAAAAGUUAUGCGCAGAAAAAAGAGGACCAGAGGGAGUACUACUCAUGUUCCUACUACGGUUGAGGAAUAUGCGGUUAUCCUCAAAAAAGAAAAGUCCUUCUUCACGCUUCCGCAUGCACGAGAAUUUGGUUCCGCUCGCAAUAUGGAUGAUAGCUGGAGGAUGAAGUGAACCCAGAGGCAUGCUAGCACGGGAGUGUACUCAUGUUCCUACUACUCCUACUAGUAGUACUAGUACAACUGUGGUACACUUGAUGGUCAAAAUACUAUUAUUCAUCCGGUCCUCACAAUGAAGUGACAAGACCCUGCGCCCGAGGUGACACCAGUCCAGGCAGCGUGUCCGGGUUACCAAAGUCGGCCUCACCUUGUGCACUGUGUAGUCACUGUCACCGCCGCUGUAUAGCAUGCCACGCCUCGUCUCCCUCUCCCCUAGCACCACUCCAUCUCCAUCUCCGUCUCGCCGGAGAUCCUGAGGUCACUCUUCAUUAUCUCACUAUGCCCCCGCAUACCCUCGCCUCGCUCGCCUCCCCCAGUACCACUAUUCCCUUGCUAGCCGGUCCAGCAUCGACAUCCUUCUCCCCCGUAAAUCAAGCCCCCCAAAAAACCCCACCUUCCAAACUCCACCAUGGCCGAACGUGAACCGCGCAGGAUCCAUAUGAGCCGCGAUUGGAGCUAUCUCCCCAGUGACGUCCUCGACCUUUGUUGUUCGUGUAUGGAUAUGUUGAGCGCCCUGCGGCUGGCUGCAUGCUCGAGGGGCAUGCACAUGACCAUCAUUUAAGCGAGGCCUAAGCUUUUCAAGACACCUUGCUUGCUGCUAUCUGGUCUUGCGAGAUUGGCUCACCAUGAUACGGAGGCGUAAUUGAUGCCCCUCGACUUCAAUCCGAUCUCCAUUAGCCGAAAUUUGUUUGCAGGUAUGUAGUGGGUCGCCGUACAUCAUUUCCCUCGACUUCGAUCCGAUCACCAUCACCCGAAACUUCUUGGCAGGUAUGUACUGGGUCGGCAUGAACUCCCACUGGAUGGCUACUGUCAGAGAAGACGGUAAAAAGUUGGUGCUCGUGAACUUCCAGACCUCGCAUGAGAUUAUCCUUCCUCCGUUGGAUUAUAUAGAGUAUUACCAUCGCGGUCCUAGUCAUCUAGAUUACCGCGUCAGUUGGACGGACCUUGUUUUGCAGAAGAUUGUAAUCUGCCAAGUGCCCACACGACAUGCGGAUUACGCAGACUUCAAGCUAAUUGCCUUGUUCGACAAGGGACUCGCCUAUCUUUACGCCGGUGCCUUCUUUAGAUGGAGACAACUCAGCUCGCAGUGGAUCGUCGUCAAAGCUGAUACACACUUCUGUGAUGCUAUUGAACACAAUGGCAUCAUCUACGCGAUCGACAAAGCAGAUGGCACCAUGUAUUGCUGGGACGGCGCGUGUAAGUUGUUUCCGUCUCAUGUUAAUGAUGACGCCAUGACACUGUUUGAACUUUUUGUGAUGAUUGGCAUAUCCCUGUUUGAGCAGAAUUUGAGUAGAACUAUGGCAAUGUAUUAGAGAUGUCGUAAAUCAGCUAUAUUUGGAAUGAGUUAAUUCAUGCGAUUGUGAUCAUGUCAUUACAGCCAAUUUGUACCCCUGAAUAAUCAAACGGUUAGGAAUAUAUGGAUAUUCUCCUUAUUUUAAAGUAAUCUAUAUACUACUACUAAAUAUGAGUGUGUAUCAACGGCCAUGUUAGUUUCCUCAUUUUCAUGAUGUAGAAACAUGCACCACACUGUUGGUUUCAUCUAACCAUACAUUAGGGAAGUAAAUGUGCAUAUGGAGAACUCUAUAUUUGGAAGUAGUGAAAUCCUGUAAUGCUUACCAUGUGUACAUAACUAUAUUCGCCCUUCAGCAAUCAAUGGCUAGAAUAAUAUCCUCACAAAAAUUUUGCCCACAGAACACGAUUAUAUAACAAUGCAUGGUCUGUUAGUUACCUUGAAGAAUUUGUUUGUGAGGACAGAACAUGAUUCCAUAACAUGCAUGACAUGGUAGUUUCCUGUGAAGAAUCGAUUGCGAGAUAACAUGAGUAUAACCAUGCAUGGCACUUCUAUAUUUUCGAACCAAGUAUACAUUUCCCUGUAUUUUCCUCCCAGUUCCAACAAGGACAUAUCAAUGCUGUUUCUUGCAUUAUCCUACUCAUACUCUGAACAAUGCUGAUCUUACAUUAACAAUGCUUGUCCUUUUUGAUAUGAUGCAGUGUCCCUACAGUUACUGCCCUUUGUAAUCACACCACCUUUGCCAAAAACAGGGAAGCACAACUGGUUCCUCGCUCGAUCAGACGACGCUAAAAGACGUAUGAUCAUUCGGACACAUGAGCCGAAAAAGUUAUAUUGCAAAAACCCCACUGUAUACAAGCACCGUGAAAUAUGUGAGUAUCCAGACAGUGGCUGUUACGUCUAUGAGUAGGAUACCGGCUUGUUGGGGCCUUCAGGAUUUUUUAGUUGGAGGCGGGUAAACAACCUUGGUUCACACUCUCUGUUUCUCGGACUCAAUUAUCCGAUUAACCAGGAGAUCACCGUUGGCAAGGACCUUGAUGGCAGAGAGGCUCUGUUUGCUAUGGCAAACUGUGUCUGCACGGCGAGCCCUAGGAGUUCGGGAGCAAACUCCCCUGAUUGUCAAUGAUACAGCCUGCAGCCAAAAGAAGGUGAGAAUGACAAAGGCAUCCGGAUUAACUUUGAUCCUUGGAUAUCUCAAUUACGACAGGCAGUGAUGUGGUUCAAGCCCUCAGGUUGAUAGGUAAUUGGGCUGUUGCGUCGAAAGGGUGGAGAUCAUUCGUCGCUGAAGCGGGGCUGCAAAUUAUGAUGGUGUUGGAUCAUCUCUUCGAAUGACUUUUUUGUCUUUGCUGCUUGUUCUGGAUGGGUAGUUCUUUCUUUUGUUAUGCAUAUUCCUUGUCAUUUGGUCAUCCUCGUCUAUGUCACUCUUACUAUGUAAUAGUUGGCUCUGUUUAGAAUGUCAUUCCCAUCUGGAUCAUGAGAGUCUGAGCGCUGCAGAUGGGUGCAUUUUGGUGGUGUAGCAAGACUUCUUAUGAACUAUCAUGUCUUGCUGUUUAUGUCAGUAGUAGUCACUAGUCAGUGUUUGAAUGUUGUAUAUAUCGUUGUUUCGAACUGUUUAUUGUCUCCUACUGGUGGGCUAAAUGAGGGCAUCACCAUUCUCUAGUGUUCAAAGUGUAUCUCCUUUUUUCAAGUUAUAUAAUUUGAGCUUAGUGUCUUUUCGAUGAUGUACACUUGUUUGGGCCAGUGAGGUGUCGUUGAAUAUGGGCCGAGUAGUAAUGCAAGCCAAAUAGGUCAAUUAUGACUCUCAGGCCAGGCUCUCAAAAGAUCCUAAAAAAGGCCGGGCUCUCCAAAAAAGAAAGAAUAAGGACUCUUAGGCCGACAUGUGGGCGCCACCGGUGUUUUCGUGCGCUUGCGCGCCAAGAGCAUAUUGGCGCGUGUUCGAAAUUCAAGCUACCUUUUCAUCCCCAAUCUCCUGCCCUCCCCCACCUCUGGAAUCUCGAUUCCUACUCCAGUUCCCCCAAAUCCCCCUCCUGUACUCCCUGUACUCAAGCUCAGUAUCAUGUCACCGGUCAACGCGGAUCUUCGAGCCGGAGAUCCUGAGGUCCGUCCUGCCUUCGGUCGCUGCGUGCUGUCGCUCAACAGUGGCAUGGCGGCGCUUGACGACCAGUUUGCCGACAAAGUGCUGAUGGUAACCAUCAACGGCGACCGGCCUCCCGUCUCGCCAGACGACCUUGUCAAAGCUCUUGGCAUUGUGCACGACAUCCAAAUAAGUGACUUGCUCGUCGAAGUCUGUCCGCCACCGGCUGAUUUCUUCAUCAGGUUCCGGACAACUUUCGACUGCAGUCGUGUGUUCGAAUCUUCCCAGCGUUUGUUCUGCGAUGGCGCGCUGGUAAGCUUUGAUUGGUGGCACCCAGGAUGGGGCUCGGUGCCCUCUGAGCUUGAGUUUUUAACAAAGCUUACCUUCCACGGCAUGCCUGGACGUGCUUGGAAUAGCGAGUCCAUGUAUGAGCUUAUCAACGACCUUGGAGGUGAGCUCGUAAGUAUGUUUGUUCCUCCAGACAGCUGGGCUCUGACGGUUAUGGCAUGGAUGAAGAAGCCGUCCACCAUACCGAAGGUGAUUGGUGUUGAGAUACCGGUGCAGGAAUCGGGGUUGUACUAUUCGUCGCCACCAAGGCCGCCACGGACCACGUUAGGGAUGUACCUGUAUCGAGUGUUCGUGGAUGUCGAAGAAGUGGUCAAUCCAUCAAUCAAAGUCCUGCCGCCGCCGCUGGUGCCAGGGUCCGUCGACGACGUCCAUUACAGGAGUCAACGUUAGACUUUCCCCAUGUUGCUCGGAACGAUGGAUGGCACAGGGCCUACUCCAUCGCGCGGCGGAGGCCACUGCUUAUUUGGGAGAAGAGGCAGGGCUGGCUGCCUGGAUGUGCUCUAAUUUGAAGUAACAACUGAAUCUUGUCAGAUACUACUAGUUAAAUCCGAGCUAUGGGUGUGAAGCACUGAUGUGCUAGUACAUUUGAUUGUGACCUGUUCUAAUUUUGUACCUGAACUUUUUUUAGAAAGGGUUGUACGUCAACUUAAUGUGCUAGCAGAACUUAUUGUGUUGUCCGUCUGUUUUCUUUGCACAGCAUUCAAGAUAUUUCCCUUUCAUUGAUAAAGAAGAUGAACCAUUAUGUACGAAUUUGUUGGUUUCAAUAUAGCCCUACCCGUAGCGAUCCACUGCUUCCAUCCUGAUUGUGCCGCCUGCGUGAAAUUUUUGUAUGCAAGUUAAGUGUGCUAUGAUGUUCUAUAUGAUUGUGUCAACUAUAUAAGUUUUUACUGAGCAUCAGCAAUGCAUAUGGCUGAAAGAUGUAUUUACGAGCAUCGACCGAUGGGUCUUUCUCUCUCUCUCUCUCUCUCUCACACACACACACACGCACACAUGCACACACGCACAAGUGGGACCUGUUGAAUUAUUUCUUUGCUCGUGACAGCUUUUAAUUAGGUUCCACUGUAAUCUAACUUUUUUCUUAAGUUAUUAAUUGAGCUCAGUGACUUCAAAAAGUUGUACAGAAGCCUUGUUUGGGCCUUUCCGGCGUUGCUGAAUGUGGGCUGAGUAGCCAUGUUAGGUUGUACUGUACUACACAUGCCUUUUUUUUCAACAUCAGGAAUGCAACUGGGCCGACAGUUGUACACAAUAUCCGGGUCAACUUGUUAUUCUCCGCCCCGCUGGGCUGCAAACUUUCUUAGGAGGUAUGCAUUAGGCUUAACAAGAAAAUGGACUUUAAUAAAUAAUAAAUGGGAUGUAAUUAUAAUAACUGGGCAGUAACUAUAAAAAGAUGCACCAAACGCGUAAUUAGUUUAAAAAAUAUAUUAUUUUGGAUUUUGAAAAUUUUAAUUUCAUUACUUGUUGCGCGCGCAAUAUUUCGUUGGAUUUUAACGUAAUACAACUUUAUUUUGAAAAUAUAUUUAAUCUGACUAGAAAUUUCAGAUAAAAAUAUUUGGGAUCCCAUAAAAAUGUGGGAUUUUUUUUCUGAAUUCUGUUUUGAGCGGUUCGUUGAAAUUAUUAAUCGUUGUCCUAGCUAGAAAAUGGGCUGUCCUUUUACAAACUAUAAAUGGGCUGUAGUAAAUUCCAUUAGAAUUAAAAAAUGGGCUGUACAUUCUUACAAAUCGCAAAUGGGCUAUAUUUUCUCUGCCACACACUUGUGGGCCUUCUAAGUUGACGCGUCCCCUAAAAAAACUAAGUUGACGCGUAUGCAAGGCUUUGUCAACAACACACCGUUCUGGCAGCUAUGGCCGUUGGAUGUCCAUCCAACGGAUGUCGUGCUUCUUCUUCAAUCUCGGAUAUUCUUGCUUCAGCCACCCAAAAAAUGAUUCCUCCCCCUGACAUCUGGGGCGCACCGUUUCGGAGGCUGACCAGUGGGCCUACUAAGUUGAUGCGUACCAAGGGCUUUGUCAACUUAGUCAAUAUAAACGAUUCUAGCUGCAGUGACCGUACGAUGUCCAUCCAAUGGCCGUAGUGCUUCUUCAACCUUUGGUCUUCUUGCUCCAGCCGCCCAAAGCAGCGCCGGUCGUGCCGCGUGCUCCUGCCUCCCGUGGCCGGCUGUGAUGCCACGGAGGCCUCACCGCCCCUACUACUCCCACCGCUGGCCAGGCCAUCUCUCUACUCACCCACACCCCCUGUUAUUCUGCGGUGACGGCAGCCUCACACCGCAGCCGAACCAGUGAACCCUCGUACUCCUCUCCGCGCGGGCUUCCACUGCCGUGUCUUCCCCGGAUCCGCGUCGUCCCCUUCCUAGGCUUCGCCGUCGUCCACCGCCCUGGUGCUCUCGGUGCGGCGUGGUCAACGUGGUCAAGGAACGGCUUCCAUCGGACAUGGACUGUACGUGGAGAGGCUGACAGCUGGGUCCAUGACGGUAGCAAGGAAGUGCCUCCUUAUUAUGCAGAAAAUAAUGAUUCCUCCACCUGAUAGCAGGGACCCACCGGACGGGCCAUCGUAUUUUGUGAAAAAAACGUUUCCCCCCUGAUUGCUGGGACCCACCAGACGGGCCACCGUAUUGCGCGAAAAAAACGUUCCCCCCGUUGUCCGCUCGUACCCACCGGAAGUGCCUCCUUAUUACGUACAAAAAGAAUGAAUACUCCCCAUGCUGGUUGGGACCCACCUUGGUGGGAGGCUGACUUGUGGGCCUACUAAGUUGACGGGGAUGGAGUGCUUUGUCAACUUAGUCAAUAUGAACGAUUCUAGCUUCAGUGACCGUACGAUGUCCAUCCAAUGGCCGUAGUGCUUCUUCAACCUCUGGUCUUGUUGCUCCAGCCGCCCAAAGCAGCGCCGGUCGUGCCGCAUUCUCCUACCUCUCGUGGCCGGUUGUGCUGCCGCGGAGGCCUCACCGCCCCCUACUAUUCCACACCGCUGGCCAGGCCAUCCCUCUACUCACCCACACCCCCUGUUAUUCUGCGGCGACGACAGCCUCACACCGCAGUGAAUAAGUGAACCCUCGUACUCCUCUACGCGUGGGCAUCCACUGCCGCGUCUUCCCCGGCUCCGCGACGUCCCCUUCCUAGGCCUCGCCGUCGUCCACCGCCCUGGUGCUCUCGGCGCGGCGUGGUCAAUGUGGUCAAGGAACAGCUUCCAUCGGACGUGGACUGUACGUGGAGAGGCUGACAGCUAGGUCCACGGCCGCAGCAAGGAAGUGCCUCCUUAUUACGCGCAAAAUAAUUAUUCCUCCACCUGACAGCGGGGACCCACCGGACGGGCCACCGUAUUUCGCGAAAAGAACAUUUCCCCCUGACUGCUGGGACCCACCAGCUACAUCUUCGCACGCAAGGAAGUGCGUCCGGGCAAAAAAAAAAACGAUUCACCCCCCUGACUGCUGGGACCCACCAGCUACAUCUUCGCAGGCAAGGAAGUGCCUGACAGUCGGGACCCACCUGGUCGAAGCGUACGUAGCGUUGUCAUUCUGGUCGCGAACGUGUACGUACAUACUGGUCGAUGUAGAGGCGCGCACGUGUCGUAGUAGAGGCGCGCACGUAGCAUGUACACGUACGUACAACGGCCAGUGUGCAAGAAAGAAAAUACGGCCACGUACGUACAUACGGGCAGGGUCUCGAACGCCUACUCGCGCAUACGUACGGCCAGGGCUCAUGUACAUGGCUGGGUCGGAUCGGAGAAACAGCGUCGUCGUCGUGUUCAUGGGGAUCCGACCGGCUGGGUCGGAACGGAGUGCGUCAUCGUGUUCAUCGGGAGGGCUUGGACGGAACAGCCGAUGGAAACGAGGCCUGGCGUACCGCAAAACGGAGGAAACGGCCUUGUGUUCGACCGGCCACGUUUGAAACAGGAUCCUGUUCAUCGGGAGGGGUCUGGCGUACCGCAAAACGGAGGAAACGGACCUCCUACGGUCGAAACGGGGGUCCUGUUGAUCGGGAGGGGUGUGGCGUACCGCAAAACGGAGGAAACGGACUUGUGUUGGAGCGCUACGGUCGAAACGGGGGUCCUGUUCAUCGGGAGGGGUGUGGCGUACCGCAAAACGGGACUCCAUGGGAUACUGUUCAUCUCCACCGUCGACCCCCUCCAGCCUCCACGGGCUACUGUUCAUCGACCAUCGACCUCCUCCAGCCUCCACAUGCGACUGUUCAUCCACGGGCUCCUGUUCAUCCAGCCUCUACCGCGCGCUACUCCACCGGCUACUGUUCAACCAGCCCUCUCCACGGGCUCCUGUUCAACCACCCCUCCACGGGCUCCUGUUCAUCCUGCCCUCCACCGUCUACGGUUCAUCCUGCCCUCCACAGGGUGGUCUUGUUCAUCCUGCCCUCCACGGGGUCCUAUUCAUCCAGCCCCAACCGGCUCAAACGAUCGGGGUACUAUUCAUCCAGAGGCAACACCACAGGGUCCUGUUCAUUCACCCCCACCGGGAACUGUUCAUCCAAACCACCCUAGCAACGCUCACUGUUCAUCCAGAGGCAACGCCACGGGGUCCUGUUCAUCCACCCCCACCAGGAACUGUUCAUCCAAACCCCCCCGCAACGCUCACUUUUCAUCCAGAGGCAGCAUCGAUCGGCUUCAGAUAGCAACAGUAGCGAAGGAAUCGCUCGAUCGGGUUCAGUUAACAGCCAUCGAUCGAUCGCUCGGGUUUAGUAAUGCGUAGCCUGCAGUGCAAUCGCUCGGGUUCAGUUAGAGCCCAAUGCCUCGCUCGGGUUCAGUUAGAGCCCAACAACUCGCACCCACGCGCGUGCGUGUACGAGAGAAACGCGCAUCGCUCGGCCCCGACCACCCACCGUAACCGGGAACACCCCGAUAUUUUCCUCGCCCUCACUUCUACCACGGAUUUUCCAUCAUGGACGACCCAAAGAAUGUCAUGCAGCUGCGUCUCCGGCCCGCCCAGGACGAAAAGCCCAUUUUCUGUCAUGAUUUUUUUCCAUAGAAGUAGGACCCCACCACAUCUAUGAUGAUAUCGUGUUUUGUCACAAUUAUCGUCAUAGAAGUGUCAUAAGUAUGAGAGAAUUUUUUCGUUCGGCCCAAAAUGUCAUGGAUGUGUCUUUUUUUGUAGUGUUAGCCUUUUUCAUUUAUAGUUGUUUGUACUCAAACAAGUUUAUGCUUCCGUUGCUUGUAUGCUUUGUGUGUUGGGUCAUGUGACCCCUGUUUGUAAUAACCAUGUUAUGUUAGGAUCUUUUGAGCCUUAAAUACCACUUGAGUUGUAGAGUUAUGUUGUGAUGUCAUGUUGUACAACACGUACUUGCAUGUUAUGCGUACAUGUAAUAUGUAUUUCUAUGUGUGGGGUUAGGCACCUAGUUGUAUGCCUAUGGUAGCCUUCCUUACAGGGAAAUGCCUCUCUGUGCUUCCGCUGAGCCUUGGUAGUUCGCUACUGCUCCAGACACAUUGAUUGACUGACAUGUAUCCUUGUUUGCUCUUGUGUCUGUCCCUAUGGAGAAAUGUCACACGGUGUUUACUAUAGUCCUUGUAGCUUUGCUAUGACUUGGUUACACUCGCUGCUGGCCGACACAUGCAUUGUUCGGUUACCUAUGUCUGUCCCUAUACGAUUGUGCCACCUUGGUCUAUAACAAAUCAUGUCGAUCCUGGUUCUUUGUCAUAUGGUUGCUAGCAUAUAAGCCAGAGACAGAAGGCGCAAACGGUCCGGCUAAGGUAAGAUGGCAGCCAUGUGAACCGUGCGUGAGUCUCAGGGUACUUAUAUGGUCUGAUACAACUAGAUCUAUGUGCCCUAUAAUCUCAGGCUGUAUAGAUGCUCAAGCACUUCCGACAAGCAUGUGUUGAGAUAUGAUGGAUCAUGCUAAUAUCUCUGAUCCGGUUGAUUUCGAUUAGAAGCAUUGAAAACUUCCUAAAAAAAGUCAGAGCUUGGAGUAUUGUUUGUCUAGCCUCUAGAAUACUUCACUAUGGCCUUUCAAGCAUUGUUCGUUGUUGCUCUGUGCUUGCUUACUAAUCAACUCAUCAGUCUUUUGAGACUUGGAUAGUUGUCAUUUUGAGGAGCUUGCUUUCAUGUAUCUUGCCAAAGCAACACCCAUGAAAAGUUAAUCGUGAUGUAGCAACUUGUGGAAUUGUACUCUAGGCUGAAGAGUUUUGUUUAGAGGAUGUUUGUCGUUUACAGUUCCUAUCCCUCAGUAAAGUCAUGUAUGGCUAUUCCAGUUUUACAACUAGUCGUUAUUGCGGCUUUACAACUAGCCAGCUUAGGUGCUAGGAGAUAUAUGGCAUACUCUCAACUAUAUCAUAAAACAUAUAUGAUGUACUUGAUUAUGUAGUAUAAGACCGGCUCAGUUAGUGUGUAAAACUCUGCCUACUGAUCAACAAUAAAAAGAUUUGUCGAAUGAAAUGUUUCUUUUGAUUAUCUUAUUCUGGGCAUUCCUGUUUUUAGAGCUGAUAGCAAAAUAUUUCAGAUAAGAUCCUCUUAAUUUCUGAUAGUGAAUAACUAUAAAUGAAUCCAGUCACAUUUCUCUGUUAUGCUUAUUGAUACAAGCUUUGGAUUAUUGGACCACAACUAUUUUACCUCCGGCAAUGCCAUUGGGGCGUCAACUCUUUAUAUUUUGCUAUAUAUAUAUAUAUAUAUAUAUAUAUAUAUAUAUAUAUAUAUAAAUAUAUAAUUUCCCUAAAGUUUCUACUCUACUGUAGUUUUCUAAUCAGGAACUAAUUGGUGUUUUAUUUAUAAGUAGCACUUUUUAUACAACUCUGACCUCUACUCUUUUUGUUGGCACAAAUUAUCAUCCUUCACGUACGAUGUUACACAUUAUACUAUUUGAGCAUUGCGCAUUGCUUCAUUUGGUUGAGCUAGGUAACAAAGGACUUCCAGGUUCAAUUGAAACCCAACUCUGACGACAUGGUAGAUACAAAUUGCAUUGGGAUUUAGAUCUUUCCCAUUUGGAGUUGAACUAUUUGUCAUGCCUCUCAUUGUUCCCUCAUUUCUAUUACCCUCCUCUUGAAAUUUAAAAUGGUGAGCUAACAUCAUGUUCAUCUAUGAAGAAUGUAGGAGUGUAACGUCUUCCAGUACCCAGAUGUAAAAUUGAUGAUGAAUGAACAAAGUUGCUUCACUUGGAAUAACAAAUAUAAACACAUUUCUGGUUACAUUUUGUGCCAUUUUCAUUUAUACAUAGUCUAUCUCUGUCGAUGUUGGUUGAGUCCAUCUAUUAAACCGAUACUUAUGAUUUAAGUCCACAUGAAAACUGACUUGAAAUAAGUGAUUUUCCAUGGUCAAACAAAUAUUUACGGCGAGUUGUAUAUGGAUGUACCCACGCAACGCGCGGGGAAAUCAUCUAGUUUCUAUCAUAGUACUAGAAAGACCUCGCGGUGCGGCAAGCCGGCAUCCAAGGGGGCAUGGAGUGUGCUAGCUAUUAAUAGCAAAAACACACUGACAUCUCGUGUGGGAAGCUAGUAUGUAGAACACGAACCAUGCAAUGAUUAACAAUAGCGAUAACAUAAUCAUGAAAAACAUCAUAAAGAAAUAUGAUAUGUUUAGGAGGGUGCAACCGGCUGAACAAUCACUGCCCCGUAGCCGAAUGGAUGAUGUGUUAUUGCCUCCACAAGCAAAUGGAUGAUGUGCUAUAGGGACCAAUAGCCAACUGACAAUGUUACAUCGGCAACACAUUUUAGAACAAAAAUUCAUAAGCGAUGCCGUUUGUUUGACCGCUAAAAUAUACAGUGGUUGUUUUGACCAUUUGUUAAAUUGACGCGUGUCCGAGGCCUCUGAAUCUCCUUUCAACAAGUCGACUGACCCAGUUCCCUCUCCCAUUGCAGUGCGUGAGGCAUCCCACACCGGUGACGAGCUCCUCUCAGCUGCUCAUCUCUCCCUAAUCCUGUGAUCCGCCCCCAGCCACUCUUCUCCUUCCCCUUUCUCUCGGCUGCUCUAUCCCUGGAGCAAUUACUGCUUUCCUAUUUGUUAUAAGAGUGUUUGUCUAGGUUGACGUCCGUCAAUUAACAAUUUGUCAUCUAGUUUCUAGAGAGCAUUUUUUUGGGGGUUUCCCAUUCUAAUCUUGUUUGUGAGAAAAACCAUACAAUUUUAAAAUGUUCACCAAUCUUAAAAAUGUUCACAAUUUAGAAAAUACUACUCCCUCCUUUCUGGUUUAUAGGGCUCAAAUCUGAAAUCGCAUCAACCAAGGCAUUUUGUGAGUGGAGUAAUGUAUCUUGUACUUUACAAAACUACCCCAAUUAAACUCAUGCAUUAAUUUGGAUUAAUUGCAACGCAUGCAUGCUUGGCCGCUAGAUGAGUAGGAACAUUACAUGCAUUGGUGUGUUCCUUUUUAAUGUUUGCAUCCAAAGAUUUAAGGUGCCUUGGAAACUAAAAAUGAGAUGGAGAUGAGCCCUUUAAAUUGGAAAAACAAAAAAAGUUGAGAUAAGCCCUAUAAACCGGAAAGGAGGGAGUAGUGAAUUUUAAAAAAAUUCUUUUGCAGGUGAAAUUCAUAGCUUCAAAAAAUGUUUGUGAAUUUGAAAAGAUGUUCACGAAAUAAAAAAAUUCACUAAUUUGGAAAAAGGUUUGCGUAUUAAAAAAAAUUGAAUUCAAAACAUGUACAUGAAUUAAAAAACACAUGAUUUUUUAAAUAAUUAGUCAAUUUAAAAAUAUUCAUCAAUUUUUUUUAAAAAUGUCCAUGAAUCUAAAAAGUGUUCGUGAAUUCAUAAUUAGUCAGGGGAAUUCUCUUUCCUUCCUUUUUUAAUUCAUCUCUUGCUCGGCCGCUGGCCCUCUGCAAUCUUCUCUGACAAGUGCAUGGACGCAAACUACUACUAAUUGAUUACUAGUUUUGCAACACUGUAUCUUAGAUUUGGUACGUGGAUUCUAGUAAUCUGAGUACUACUAUUCCACUUAAAGGUGAAGAUCGGUAUAUCUUUAAUACUUGUUGAUACUGGUCUGUACGGACCGCUUCCUCUUAUUCGCUUCGGUCUGCUAUGGUCAUCGGAAUCAAACAGGUUCUAUUUUUCUUAGCUAUUGUUUAAGAACACAAGUUAUUACACGCAGAAUAUUUUCUGUUGGUUUGUACUGCAUUGUUUUUGCAGAGAUAUCCAACCGUGCUUAACGCCUGGCCGGCCUCUCUUCGUCACCUUGGCCAGCCGACCUGUGUUGACAUCUCCCAGCAAGGAUGUCACCAGGAGAUUUCCGGCCUACGCGUCGGAACUUUGUCGAAAUGACCUUGGCGCUCGGGCCAUACUUCUUUAAUUAUUUAUUUCACUUAAAUUAACAUUGGGGGGGGGGGGAAUUAUUGCUCGGGCCAGUGUUAUUUUCUUCACACAGGUUAGCUAUCUUUUGGCCACAAGGUCACCCCGCGAGUUCAUGUUUCAUCAUGCUGCCACUAUGUUACAUCGGCGUCGUUGUUCCACGCACCCUGAACCGCCGUGGAAAGUCCAGAAGAAGCGUGUGCGGACAGCUAGCCGACGUGUAAGGCAAUCCGGCAGGGGCGAUCCAACCGAGGAGUACGGCUGCGAACAGUCCACGCAGGCCAGUGCCCAUAGCUGACACAAAUUCAUCUAUGUGGCAACCCACAGGGAGAACGAUCUUUCCCUCUUUCUUCUGUUAUUUUAUUAAGUAUAAAGGCAAUCUAUGCUUUUCAAUUCUAAUCUGUCUCCCGUGCACUUUUCCAUAUACUAGAUUGAUUCGACCAUGCAUUAAAAGUAGAAUUAUACUAGCACUUGCUAAUACUUGCGUGGGAUGCUAGACCUUCUGCGCCAUAUUUGAUUGCGAUCUGAUGUUGGUUGGUACAUCGUCUGCCGAUUGCCUCAUGAAUCAUCAGGUGCCAUUAUUCCAGUUAAUUAUUCUGUACGGAUUAUUUGUUCAGAAUAUAUCCGUUUUGCUGGUGUACUUUGUUUUUUGUACACAGAUUGCUGUGGCCGACAUCUCUCGACGAUCCGAUAUGUUGUUGUUAACAGCGGCCGCGCCAUACCGUCGCCUCCGCGGCGCACGCGGGCAAAUUCCGAUCGCUGGAAAACUAUUACUAGAUGCAAAUCCAUGAACACCUGCAUGUGUCUCUUCGGACUGCUAUAAUUAAUUAGACAAUUUCCGUCCACAGUUCGGCCAACACCGCAUCUAGAGCUCGGACCGCCUUGCAAAUUUUGGCCCUGUCGCGCCUUCACUGCAUCAUGCCGACACCCUGCAUCGACGUAAUCGACUUUGACUGCAUCACGUAGUCAUUUCGGCAAGCCGACGUCGUCGUCCCAAUCGGCAUAAAUCGGCUCGCGUGAUCACCUCGUUGGUCGAAUUGCCAUACCGACAUGUUCGGUCGCCUCGGGGACUUCGGCAUCAUUGAGAGAGCUCUACCUCAUCAAGUGUUCGGCACACGGGCCAUAUUUGUUUUAUUAACUUUGCAUAAAUUAUUAAUUAUGCAAUGAUUUUUUAAUUUAUUAUUAUUACUAUUAUCUCCGGCGUGCACUAUUUUUUGUGCGCAGGUAAAUGAUCCGGGUUGGGCAGCUGUCACCUCGGCGUACCGAUGUACCAUGUCACCUCGGCUGGACCAGGGGCUUCGUCAACACUUCAUUAACCCACGCCGGGGACUUCCGCGUCAUACCGCCGGCCUGCUCCAUCGCCUCAGUCGGACUGGGGGUUACACCGCCAUAUUGGUAGUGCUAUGUCGCCACUUCGGAGUGCCGAGCUCUUCGCUCCGCCACCUCGGAACCGGCUUGGGGGCUGGGACCUCGUUCCGCCGUAAGCUCGGACCGCGCAUCGACACCGAGCACAUUAACCAGCUAAGUCGCUUCCAUGCUCAGUUUUUUUAGCUCUUGUUUGGUUCGACCAAACAUUAUAUUUGUGUCAAUAACUUAGUUUGUCAACAAACAUUGUUUGUUAAAAACACUUCCUUUCCCAUAUUAACUGGGGGCUUCCUUUAUGAAGCCUUUCCUCUUGCAUAUGAUUAUACUUGUAUGGCUUCUUUCCUUGUUCGUGUAUUACGUCACAAUAUGCACCAUGUUGACUUAAGUGUUCUGCAAGCUGGGUUGCCUUGCUCCUGUGUUUACCCUUACGUUCCCGAUUGUUCGGCUAGGGAGUAAAGGGAGCACCUCUGCGAUUGUCACGAUCGGGUCAUCCGAGCUCGGACCUCAGACUGGAUGAAGCCGAAAGCUAGCGCUCUUAUUGUUUUCAAUCAUGGUCGGCACACAACGGAACUCAUGAGUACAAAAAAUCUUUUGCACAAGUCUCAUAGUAACAAUGAGCAACCGAAGAAAGGUAUCGGUGGGGGUACUAUUUUCUUUGAAGAUGCUUCUUACACUUCAUCAGUAAUAUAGCAUAAGUUCCCUGAGCGCGCUUUGUCUGUUACAACCUUCUGGCCUGAUUGCCUGGUCAUCGGAAACACCGUCAAUAUUCUCGACAGGUGGAGUACAUAACACUUUUCGGCCCUUGACCGAAGAGGGAGAAGCCGACGGUCGGUUAAGACGCGUUUAAAGUUCGGGUGAAGAUGGAUUUGAUAUAAGUACUUCGGUACAUACAAUCAUUAUACAUAAAAUUCUUUUCCCAAAUCACUUGGGGGCUCUUAUUUAUAUGAGCUGUUUUAUAAUAAGUGUUCUUCUUCUUAGUCGUUGCAAAGUCUUUUUCUAUCACUCCUUUUUUCGACGCGAGUGUGUGGUCAAUAGCCGAGGAGCCUAAUUUCUCUCUCAAAGCCGCUAGAGUUUAGUUUGCUAAACUAGCCUAACGAGAAGUACUCCGCCUUCGGGAUAGGAGGUUCAAGCCAUAGGCUGACCCGCUUGAAGUCUUGAGAUAGGAUGUGUCAUGUUAAAGCACGACAGAAGCACAAUUUUCUUUUCUAAGACCAAUUUUCGGAUUGGCCCCGAACACUCGAUCUAGUUCGGACGUCAAGUUUUUACUGAAGUUUUUUGGUUUUCCAAGCCUAUGACACUUUUAAACUAUUUGUGUGUUUCCAGCAUAAGUCUCGUAGUGCAACGCCAGACACGUUUAGAGAUCCAGCAAAAACAUUCUCGGAUAUUGCUAUAUAUGCAUCGGUUUCGAAUUGUGUCUUCGGUCAAUAGUUAGGUUGCCCGGCUCCUGUGCUUGCCUCCUAGGUUCCACUUUGUACUAAGUGUGCAAAGGGAGAACCAUUGCGAUUGUGCUUCCAGCUCGCAUGGUUAAAGCGCCUCAGUGGAGAAAGCCGAAAACUGACUGUCUCAAUAAGCGCAAACUGGUCAGCGAUCCGAUGACUGUGUUAAACUAUAAGAUCGAUAGAGGUCACCCCGUGUUAAAUGAAGGGCUGUUCAUCACAUUGGACGAAGUGUUUACGGCUUGACCUCAGCUAUCGCCGAACACUAACCGAGGGCUAGUAACCUGCCUGCCAACUUUAAGCUCCUAUGACUAGGUGAAAGUUAUAAAGCCCGCAUAUCUGAUUGCCUCGUUUCCGCUAACACAACCGCCAUUGGGCACCGAGACGUCGGCUAAGGGUUGUUUUGUUGUUGUGGAAACACCCUGCGUAACAUCUACAAAGGGGCCGAAGCCGACGAUGGGCUACUUUCAAAUGCUAAACGGUUGCAACGGAGUCAAAAUAAACAUAUCCUUAGCGUUUGUAUUCAAUAUACGAACGUUGCCUUCCAUAAUUCUCGUUAUAAAGCCAUAAAUAUGCAUCCAUUUGACUUAAGAUUUCUGCCAAGCUGGGUUGCCUGGAUCCUGUGCUUACCCCUACGUUCCCGAUUAUUCAGCUAGGCGGUAAAGGGAGCACCUCUAUGAUUGUUACUACCGGGUCAUCCGAGUUAGUACCUCAGACGGGGUGAAGCCGAAAGCUAGCAAUCUUAAAGGAUCACAUUGGUCGGCAACGACGGAAGUGAAAAUUUUGGUUCAUUAAUACCAUAGAGUUCGGGAACUUCUCCCGACCUAAAUCCUCAAUAUUUUCCUCCAACAUCGAUCGGAGGUGAGGUUUCAUGAUCAUGAUAAGCAUGACGACCCAAAGAAAGGAACCGAUAGCGGGACUAUUUUCUUUGGAAGAUGUUUCUUACAUUAAAAAGUAAUAUAACAUAUCUCUCCGUGUAACUUUGUUUAUAAAACCGUAUGGCCGGAUUGCCUUGUUUGUCGUAAAUCUUUGCCCUCAUAAAGGCUUUAUAAAGUAGGACAAACACUCCUCGGCUACUGGCCGAGGAGGUGGAAGCCGAUGGUCGGUCAACAAAGUUUUGUACAAUGCGGACCCGAGCACUAAUGAUGUAAAGUACUUGGAUACAUAGAAUCAUUACAAAUAAAAAUUGCGAGUACAGUCCAUUUACCGCAACCCAUCUUUUAAACCCCUUGGGGCCGACCUUGGCGAGCCCAGCUUUCGCUGGCUCUAGCUCCCUUAAGAGAUCUUUAUUCUCUUUUCAAAAAGUUAAUUAUGCAUUUUUUUGUCAAACGGACAUCGAUCCUUAAUUCGGCCACCCGUGCCCACAUUAAGGCCCGGGGGCUACUGGGCUUCGCGCUCAUUAUUUAUAAAUAUUAAAGGGGCACAUCGAUCCCCUGAUCUGGUGUUACCACCCGACCAGUGGCUCGGGGGCUACUGCGUUGCCUAUUUAAUGCAUACAAUUCAAAUUGCUCAGUGUUCGGCAUGACCGAACUAUGGACAAGCGCGUCUUCGGACAACAAUAAGUACCAUCUGAGACUUAUCCGGCAUCAAGCUAAUAUAUCACGGCGACUUCUCACGACCCUCUCUCAGGGGGCCCGUCCGCCGAUCACUAUUACCUCUAAUAUAAUACAGUGUGUUUCUAUUCCUAUGUAUGCUGCCGAGCUAGGAGUUCAUCCUCAGGCCGAUUUCACAACCUGAGUCUCAGGAGCUACUAGGAUCAGCAGUUUCAUAUUUUCCUUCAGGUGCAUCUCGGAUUUCAGGCCGACAGAUACCUUGAGGGCUACUGGCAAUACAUCUCGUCAGCACAUAAAUUUACCCGCAUCGGAGAAGAAAUCCGCAAACAAUCAGCCCAUGACCGAGGUGCUGAACCACCUCGAAAGCAUUUCGGGAUAUAGCUCGGAUGCAAGUGGCUAGCUCAGUAGAGGGCAUUUCUGGCAUUAAGCACGGAUAAACUCCUUCAACUUUUUUUUGAACCAAGGUGAUCUGUGACACCUCGGAUAUAGUCCGGCAUUGGAGCUCGGAUACAGUCCGGCGUUGGAGCUUGGACAUAGUCCGGCGUUGGAGCUCGGAUACAGUUCGGCGCUGGAGUUCAAAUACAUUCCGGCGUUGGAGCUCGGAAGCGGUCCGGCGUUGGUGCUCGGCUGCAAAAGAUACCUCGAAUGCAGUCCGGCGUUGGAGCUCGGAUGCAAGAGGACACUGCCGCAUGACAAACACUUCAAACCCGAGGUGUGGCAUUAAAAUAACAAGACAUUGAUAAAGUCUGAUAACUUAAAGUGGCUCCUCGGAUACCCAACGUGUAAACUCUUCGGAUUCACUUCGUCGAUCCUCAAGAUCAAAGAUGAGAAGAUUUGUUGAACCAGUUUUCAAGACCGACGACCAAAGAUGAAGAACUGUUCGGAAGAAUCGAGGAGCGUCCCCAACUUGAAGACCGGUUCAGGGGGCUACUGACGGUGUCCUGGACUAGGGCGUACUCACCACGUCAUCUCCUGACCAGCUGGAUCGGGCCGAGGACCCCCAUGGCGGUUCACUAUUGGGCCAGUUCGGACAACGCAUGCCGCAUACAAGGAAGACUCCACCAGACUUGGUGCCCAAGACAAGGACUCUCCCAAACCCUAGGCCUCUGGUGUGUUAUAUAAACCGAGGCCAGGCUAGUCAAUAGAUAUCGAAUAUUCAUUAGAUCAAUCUCGUGGUAGACACAGGUACUCUGUACUACACCCCAUAUGAAUAUAAUCAAAAUCAGGAUGUAGGGUUUUACCUCCAUCAAGAGGGCCCGGACCUGGGUAAAAUCCUGUGUCCAUGUUACCAUCACUCCAAGACGCCUGGCUUAGGACCCAUACUACGAGAUAUGCCGGAUUGUACUAGCAAAACUUAUCAAGAGCUGGAUGAGCCAGCUUUGCUUGUAGCCCAAGUAAAGUUGCCGCGUGUGUUUGAAAUCCGACCGUUGGACACGUGUCGGUUCCUUAGUGACCCAGGGUCAUGACAUAUCAGGUCGGGUUGCCUCCUGGCUAUAAAUAGCCCACCCCCUACACCAUAAACUGGUGGCUGCUCAGAGUUAGUGCACGGCUUUUGUCGUUUGAGAGCAACCCACCUCCGAAGCAUUUGAGAGAGAGAGAGAGAUCCUUGCGAGGACAAAGCCCAAAACACCCAGAGCCAAAAAGUGUUAGGCAUCACUGAAGUAUUUCUGUGCGCGUGACCUGAAGACUUGUUACACUUGAGGACUGUGUAUCCUCCAGCCGGUUAGGCAUCGCGUUCUGAGCAUCCAAGAGUCAUUGUGGAUUGCCGGUGAACGAAGUCUGUGAAGGUUUGGAAGUCUACCUUAAAGACUUAUCAGAGUGAUUGGGCGAGGACUGGGUGUCCUUAUCUCAAGGGGAAUAAGGUGAAGACACGGUCUUCUGAGUUAAAUCUCAGCCUCCCUAACCAAACAUAUAGUUGUCACAGCAACUGGAACUGGUCUACCAAAUCCUUGUCUUCACCAAGCAACUUGUUCUAUCCCCCACUUCCCUUUACUUUACAGUUUGUCUUCGUGAAGUCAUUGCUUACUUGUCUGAUCUAUUUGACUUCACUGAGUGAAGACUAUUUCCUGUUUGGCUUCAUACUGUCUUCCAUCCUGAUCCAUACUACCUAGCUGCUGAUAGUCUUUGUGCUUUCACUAUAUUGCUUACUUGACUGUGGCUUGUCUAGUGUAGUCUAUCUUUCGCUACAUAUCAAUAGGCUCAUUUCUAUUGUUUGUCUUCAAAGACCUCGUGUUUUGAAGACUUUCAUAAAAAUCGCCUAUUCACCCCCCUCUAGUUGAUAACUAGCACUUUUAAUUGGUAUCAGAGCAAGGUGCUCCUUUGUUCUGUGUGAUUCGGUUUAGCCACAUGGAGUUUUAGCUAUGUCGACUGCAGGGAUAAUCAACGUCUCUGCUGCGUGCCCCAUUUUUGAUGGUCAUGAUUAUCCCAAAUGGAAGGCUAUGAUGAGAAAGCGCCUCCUUGCGGUGAACAGUGAGCUUUGGACCGUCACGGAGAUUGGUCUCACCGAUUUAUGCAAGAUGGCGAAUGCUGACGACAUUCACAAGUACACUCUACUGGAUAUCAAGGCGAAGGAUAUGCCUGUCCAGAGACGAGUUUAGGCGCAUCAUGCAUCUCUGCAAUGCAAAGAUCAUAUGGGACCGGAUCUCUGAUGUUUAUGAAGGUCAUGGAACACGUCAGGACCCCUGGUUCCACGAAUUCAAAGAUUUUCUUAAAACAAUGACUCCCGAACCCGAGCCAUCUUCUCCGACCUACUGCUUCAUGGCACGUGGUGCCAAGGUAAACUCAUGCGAUGCUUACUUUCAAACAUCCAGUGAAGAUGACUCUGAAUGUGAAUCCAAACCUAGCUAUUAGACACUUGCUAAAAUUGCAACUGAACAACAAACUGCUAUGGAACAUAUUCAAAAGUUGCUAGACAAAAGUGAUGAUCUGUUGGACGCGGAAAUGAAUCGAACUCAGUCCUUAAUUGAAGACAUUAAAAAUCUUCACGUUUAGUAUGAGGAACUUGAAAGUCGUCAUGAAACACUCUCAGCUACUCAUGAGAAGCUUUCCUAUGAUUAUCUUCAGAGGAAGCAAGAACUUGAGAAUCUAGGAGCGUCUCAUGAAGAUCUUCAAAAGGAGAACGAUUCACUUCGCACUCAACAGAUCAGUUCCACUCAGGAAGACUUUGAGCCACCCUAUUUAAAAUGGCUUGAGCGUGAUAAUCUUGUCUCUAUUGCUCAAUGUUCUACUGCUGCUACUGUUGCAAUAUCUUCAACUGCUGAUGUGGUUUCUAACCCCUCGUCUGAGGAUACCACUACUAUAUAUUGUUGAUGAGAAUGCUAGGUUGAAGACAUUGCUUCAAACAGGGAUGUACAAAAGCCUCAAAGGCAUCUGACACUAUGUGAUGUCCUCAAGAAACAGAUUCUGAACCGAAACCCUAGGAAAGAGGGUGUUGGGUUCAAGAGAAAAAUGAAUGUUGAUGGUUCAUACUGGAAACCUGAGCAGUACCCCAAAACCACAUGGGUUGCUGCAAAGGGACCUUCAGUGGAUCCAUCUACCUUAUCUGGCUUCACUUGUGCUAACCCUAUUAUCAUUGAUGAAUCCUUUGAUGCAAACUAUAAGCUGUUUAAGAAUCAGAAUGGUGAAGUGUUUGCAAGGUAUAUUGGUACUAACUGCAGGAAUGAACCACCCUUGAAAAAGAUCUGGGUGCCCAAGAGUUGUCUUGAGAAGCUUCCUGUGAAUGUCAUCAUGACACCACCAGGGAAGAAGACAAACCCCAGACCAAAGGCUUCAUAUGGUCCAAAGGCUUCAUACAGACAGAGGACCCACCAGGGUCACCCUAACGCCAAUGUUUUGCGGGAAACCAUACUCAGUCUUAUGAAUAUGAGCGUGUUUCAUCAAACCGCUAUGUUCAUAAAACCAAGAACUUUUCUGCUUAUUCUUAUGAGUAUUAUUCACCUCAUGCAAGGCUAUUUGCUAGGGCUCCAAAGCCAAAAUUCUCAGAUGCUGCACUUAGACUCAUUGCUUCUAAGCCACCCCUGAAGAUGUGGGUGGUUAAGAAGAACUAACUCUCUUUUGUAGGGAAAGGUCUCCAGCCGGAAAUCAAAGGCUUCUGAUGCUUAUGCUGGGGACCUAAAACAUCUUGUGGGACACAAGAUAAAAUGCCAAAAUAGUCUUACUAUGUAUUUCGUCCCAGGGUUUCUAGACAAACAUCCUAUCUACCCUAACAAGGAUCUAAACUCUAAUAGUAUGCUCGUUCAUCAAAUGUUUAUGCUUCACAAUACUCUUGGUGAAGCCUAUCCCACUAACUGCAUUGUAGGGUACGACUCCGAAGGCUACUGAGUGGAUUAUGGACAGUGGAUGCUCUAGCCACAUGACUGGUGAUCGAAGUCUUCUUAUGGAUUCAACCCUACGACCAUCUGACAAAAGUCACAUCACAUUCGCUGACACUAUCGUUUAUGGGUUAGGCAUUAGAGACAACCGCAUUCACUUUAAAUAGGGCACCAUGCAAUUCCGUUGAGACGACAUCGUAUGAACUAUGGUUUAGAAAAACCUAAGCUGUCGUUUCUUAAAAGUUUGGGGCUGCGACGCUUAUGUGAAAAAGUUUCAGGCUGAUAAGCUCGAACCCAAAGCAGAUAAAUGCAUCUUCAUAGAAUACCCAAAACAGUUGGGUAUACCUCCUAUUUCAGAUCCAGAAGCAAAGUGAUUGUUUCUAGAAACAGGUCCUUUCUCAAGGAAAAGUUUCUCUCGAAAGAAUUGAGUGGGAGGAUGGUGGAGACUUGAUGAGGUUAUUGAACCGUCACUUCAACUAGUGUGUAGUAGGGCACAGGAAGUUGUUCCUGUGGCACCUAGACCAAUUGAAGUGGAAGCUUAUGAUAGUGAUCAUGAAACUUCGGAUCAAGUCACUACCAAACCUCGUAGGUCGACAAGGACGCGUACUACUUCAGAGUGGUACGUAAUCCUGUCUUGGAAGUCAUGUUGCAGGACAACAAUGAACCUACGAGCUAUGGAGAAGCGAUCGUGGGCCCGGAUUCCGACGAAUGGCUCGAGGCCAUAAAAUCCGAGAGAGGAUCCAUGUAUAAAAACAAAGUAUAGACUUUGGAAGAACUACUUGAUGGUCGUAAGGCUGUUGGGUGUAGAUGGAUUUUAAAAGGAAGACGGACAAUGAUGGUAAGUGUCACCAUUAAGAAAGCUCGACUUGUCGUUAAGAUGUUUUCUGACAAGUUCAAGGAGUUGACUACGAUGAGAUUUUCUCACUCGUAGCGAUGCUAAGAGUCUGUUGGAAUUAUAUUAGCAGUUACUGCAUUAUUUAUGAAAUCUUGUAGAUAGGAUGUCAAAAAACAUUGUUUCCUCGACGAUUUUCUUGAGGAAAGGUUGUAUGUGAUACAACCAGAAGGUUUUGUCAAUCCUGAAAGAUGCUAACAAGUAUGCAAAGCUCCAGCAAUCCUUCUAAGGACUGGAGUAAGCAUCUUGGAGUUGGAAUGUACGCUUUGAUGAGAUGAUCAAAGAUUUUGGGUUUUUACAAAGUUUAUGAGAAACUUGUAUUUCCAAAGAAGUGAGUGGGAGCACUAUAGAAUUUUUGAUGAGUAUAUGUUGUUAACAUAUUGUUGAUCAGAAAUGAUGUAGAAUUUCUGGAAAGCAUACAGGGUUAUUUGAAAAGUGUUUUUCAAUGGAAAACCUGGAUUAAGCUACUUGAACAUUGAGCAUCAAGAUCUAUAAGGAUAGAUUAAAAACGCUUAAUAGUACUUUCAAAUGAAUACAUACCGUGACAAGAUUUUGAAGGAGUUCAAAAUAGAUCAGCAAAGAAGGAGUUCUUGGCUGUGUUAGAAGGUGUGAGUAUUGAGUAAGACUCAAGACCUGACCACGGCAGAAGAGAGAGAGAGAGGACGAAGGUCGUCCCCUAUGCUUUGGACGUAGGCUCUACAGUAUGCUAUGCUGUGUACCGCACCUGAAGUGUGCCUUGCCAUGAGUCAGUCAAGGGGUACAAGAGUGAUCCAGGAAUGGAUCACAUGACAGCGAUCGAAAUUAUCCUUAGUAACUAGUGGACUAAGGAAUUUUCUCAAUUAUGGAGGUGGUAAAAGAGUUCGUUGUAAAGGGUUACGUCGAUGCAAACUUUGACACUAAUCCGGAUGACUCUGAGUAGUAAACCGGAUUCGUAUAGUAGAGCAGUUAUUUGGAAUAGCUCCAAGUAGCGCGUGGUAGCUGCAUCUACAAGAUGACAUAGAGAUUUGUAAAGCACACACGGAUCUGAAAGGUUCAGACCCGUUGACUAAUAACCUCUCUCACAAAGCGAGAUAUGAACAAACCCAUUGACUCUAGUGCAAGUGGGAGACUAUUGGAAAUAUGCCCUAGAGGCAAUAAUAAAAUGGUUAUUAUUGUAAUUCCUUGUUCAUGAUAAUUGUCUAUUGUUCAUGCUAUAAUUGUAUUAACUGGAAACCAUAAUACAUGUGUGAAUACAUAGACCACAACAUGUCCCUAGUGAGCAUCUAGUUGACUAGCUCGUUGAUCAAUAGAUGGUUAUGGUUUCCUGACCAUGGACAUUGGAUGUCAUUGAUAACGGGAUCACAUCAUUAGGAGAAUGAUGUGAUGGACAAGACCCAAUCCUAAGCAUAGCACAAGAUCGUGUAGUUCGUUUGCUAAGAGCUUGUCUAAUGUCAAGUAUCAUUUCCUUAGACCAUGAGAUUGUGCAAAUCCCGGAUACCGUAGGAAUGAUUUGGGUGUACCAAACUUCACAACGUAACUGGGUGGCUAUAAAGGUGCACUACAGGUAUCUCCGAAAGUGUCUGUUGGGUUGGCACGAAUCGAGACUGGGAUUUGUCACUCCGUAUGACGGAGAGGUAUCUUUGGGCCCACUCAGUAAUGCAUCAUCAUAAUGAGCUCAAUGUGACUAAUGAGUAACCACGGGAUCAUGCGUUACGGAAUGAGUAAAGAGACUUGCCGGUAACGAGAUUGAACGAGGUAUUGGGAUACUGACGAUCGAAUCUUGGGCAAGUAACAUACCGGUGGACAAAGGGAAUUGUAUACAGGAUUGAUUGAAUCCCCGAUAUCGUGGUUCAUUCGAUGAGAUCAUCGUGGAACAUGUGGGAGCCAAUAUGGGUAUCUAGAUCCCGCUAGUGGUUAUUGGCUGGAGAGGUGUCUCGGUCAUGUCUGCAUGGUUCCCGAACCCGUAGGGUCUACACACUUAAGGUUCGGUGAUGCUAGAGUUGUUAUGGGAAAUAGUAUGUGGUUACCGAAGGUUGUUCGGAGACCCGGAUGAGAUCCCGGGCGUGACGAGGAACUCCCGAAUGGUCCAGAGGUGAAGAUCGAUAUAUUGGACGAAGGGUAUUGGUGUCCGGAAUUGUUCGGGGAGUACCGGGUGACGACCAGCGUGACCGAAAGGUGUUUCGGAGGCCCCGGCAAGCGUUGGGGGGCCUUAUGGGCCAAGGGAGGGGGCACACCAACCCACUAAGGGGCUGUGCGCCCCUCCCAACUCCUCUCACGUAACCUAGAGAGGUGGGGGCGCCUCCCCUAGGGCAGCCACCCCUCCCGGCUUGGGGUCAAGUUUCCUAGGGGUGGGGGCGCCCAAACCCAUCUAGGGUUUCCCCUGUGGCCGCCGCCCCUCCCCUAGGGAACCCUAGGGCACCUCCUCCACCCCCUUCCCCCUAUAUAUAGUGAGGGAGAUAGAGGGCAGCCGCACCCCUUCCCUGGCGCAGCCCCUCCCUCCUCCAACUCUUCCUCCUCCGUAGAGCUUGGCGAAGCCCUGCAGGAAUACCACACGCUCCACCACCACGCCGUCGUGCUGCUGGACCUCUCCCUCAACUUAUCCUCUCCCCUUGUUGGAUCAAGAAGGAGGAGACAUCCUUGGGUUGUACGUGUGUUGAACACGGAGGCGCCGUCCGUUCGGUGCUAGAUCGGAUCUUCCGCGAUUUGAAUCGCCGCGAGUACGACUCCAUCAACCGCGUUCUUGUAACGCUUUCGCUUAGCGAUCUUCAAGGGUAUGAAUAUGCACCCCCUCUCCCUCGUUGCUAGCAUCUCCUAGAUUGAUCUUGGUGACACGUAGGGAAAUUUUGAAUUAUUGCUACGUUCCCCAACAGUGGCAUCAUGAGCUAGGUCUAUGCGUAGAUUCUAUGCACGAGUAGAACACAAAGUAGUUGUGGGCGAUGAUUUGUUCAAUUUGCUUGCCGUUACUAGUCUUAUCUUGAUUUGGCGGCAUUGUGGGAUGAAGCGGCCCGGACCGACCUUACACGUACACUUACGUGAGACAGGUUCCACCGACUGACAUGCACUUGAUGCAUAAGGUGGCUAGCGGGUGUCUGUCUCUCCCACUUUAGUCGGAUCGGAUUCGAUGAAGAGGGUCCUUAUGAAGGGUAAAUAGCAAUUGGCAUAUCACCGUUGUGGCUUUUGCGUAGGUAAGAAACGUUCUUGCUAGAAACCCAUAGCAGCCACAUAAAACAUGCAACAACAAUUAGAGGAUGUCUAACUUGUUUUUGCAGGGUAUGCUAUGUGAUGUGAUAUGGCCAAAAGGAUGUGACGAAUUAUAUAUAUGUGACGUAUGAGAUUGAUCAUGUUCUUGUAAUAGGAAUCACGACUUGCAUGUCGAUGAGUAUGACAACCGGCAGGAGCCCUAGGAGUUGUCUUAAUUUAUUGUAUGACCUGCGUGUCAAUGAAAAACGCCAUGUAAUUACUUUACUUUAUUGCUAACCGUUAGCCGUAGUAGUAGAAGUAAUAGUUGGCAAGACAACUUCAUGAAGACACGAUGAUGGAGAUCAUGGUGUCAUGCUGGUGACGAAGGUGAUCAUGCCGCGCCUCGAAGAUGGAGAUCAAAGGCGCAAGAUGAUAUUGGCCAUAUCAUGUCACUUUAUGAUUUGCAUGUGAUGUUUGUCAUGUUUACAUCUUAUUUUCUUAGAAUGACGGUAGCAUAAAUAAGAUGACCCCUCACUAAAAUUUCAAGAAAUGUGUUCCCCCUAACUGUGCACCGUUGCGAAGGUUCGUUGUUUCGAAGCACCACGUGAUGAUCGGGUGUGAUAGAUUCUAGCGUUCGCAUACAACGGGUGUAAGCCAGAUUUACACAUGCGAAACACUUAGGUUGACUUGACGAGCCUAGCAUGUACAGACAUGGCCUCGGAACACAAGAGACCGAAAGGUCGAACAUGAGUCGUAUAGUAGAUACGAUCAACAUGAAGAUGUUCAGCGAUGAUGACUAGUCUGUCUCACGUGAUGAUCGGACACGGCCUAGUUGACUCAGAUCAUGUAUCACUUAGAUGACUAGAGGGAUGUCUAUCUAAGUGGGAGUUCAUUAAAUAAUCAGAUGAACUUAAUUAUCAUGAACAUAGUCAAAAGGUCUUUGCAAAUUAUGUCGUAGCUUACGCUUUAGUUCUACUAUUUAAGAUAUGUUCCUAGAGAAAAUUUAGUUGAAAGUUGAUAGUAGAAAUUCUGCAGACUGGGUUCGUAAACUGAGGAUUAUCCUCAUUGAUGCGCAGAAGGCUUAUGUCCUUAAUGCACCGCUCGGUGUGCUGAACCUCGAGCGUCAUAUGUAGAUGUUGCGAAACAUCUGACAUACACGUUUUGAUGACUACGUGAUAGUUCAGUGCGUAAUGCUAACGGUUUAGAAUGGUGGCACCAAAGAUGGUUUUGAAAUGUCGCAGAACAUAUGAGAUGUUCCAAAGACUGAAAUUGGGAUUUCAGACUAGUGCCCUCGUCAAGAGGUAUGAGACCUCUGACAAGUUUCUUAAGCCUGCAAACUAAGGGAGAAAAGCUCAAUCGUUGAGCAUGUGCUCAGAUUGUCUGAGUACUACAAUCGCUUGAAUCGAGUGGGAGUUAAUCUUCCAGAUGAGAUAGUGAUGGUUCUCCAUAGUCACUGCCACUAAGCUAUUAGAGCUUCAUGAUGAACUAUAACAUAUCAGGGAUAGACAUGAUGAUCCUUGAGCAACUCGCGAUGUUUGACACCGCGAAAGUAGAAAUCAAGUAGGAGCAUCAAUUGUUGAUGGUUAGUAAAACCAGUAGUUUCAAGAAGGGCAAGGGAAAGAAGGGAUACUUCAUGAAACGACAAAUCAGUUGCUGCUCUAGUGAAGAAACCCAAGGUUGAACCCAAACCCGAGACUAAGUGGUUCUGUAAUGAGGGGAACGGUCACAGAAGCAGAACUACCCUAGAUACUUCGUAGAUGAGAAGGCUGGCAAGGUCGACAGAAGUAUUUUGAAUAUACGUUAUAUUAUUGUGUACUUUACUAGUACUCCUAGUAGCACCAGGGAAAUAAAUACCGGUUCGGUUGCUAAGUGUUAGUAACUCGAAAUAAAAGGCUGCGGAGACUAGCUAAAGGUGAGAUGACGAUAUGUGUUGGAAGUGUUUCCAAGGUUGAUGUGAUCAAACAUCGCACGCUCCCUCUGCCAUCGGGAUUGGUGUUAAACCUAAAUAAUUGUUAUUUGGUGUUUGCGUUGAGCAUAGACAUGAUUGGAUUAUGUUUAUUGCAAUACGGUUAUUCAUUUAAGGAGAAUAAUGGUUACUCUGUUUAUUUGAAUAAUACCUUCAAUGGUCUUGCACCUAAAAUGAAUGGUUUAUUGAAUCUCGAUUGUACUGAUACACAUGUUCAUGCCAAAAGAUAUAAGAUAGUAAUGAUAGUACCACAUACUUGUGGCAUUGCCAUUUGAGUCAUAUUGGUAUAAAACACAUGAAGAAGCUCCAUGUUGAUGGAUCUUUGGACUCACUCGUUUUUGAAAAGAUUGAGACAUGCGAACCAUGUCUAUUGGUAGAUAUGCAUGAAGAAACUCCAUACAGAUGGAUCGUUUGGACUCACUUGAUUUUGAAUCACUUGAGACAUGCAAAUCAUACCACAUGGGCAAGAUGACUGAAAGGCCUCGUUUUCAGUAAGAUGGAACAAGAAAGCAACUUGUUGGAAGUAAUACAUUUUGAUGUGUGUAGUCCAAUGAGUGCUGAGGCAUGCAGGGGAUAUCGUUAUGUUCUUACUUCAUAGAUGAUUUGAGUAGAUGCUAAGUAUAUUUACUUGAUGAAACACAAGUCUGAAUUAUUGAAAGGUUUAAGUAAUUUUAGAGUGAAGUUGAAGAUCGUCGUAACAAGAGGAUAAAAUUUCUAUGAUAUGAUCAUAGAGAUGAAUAUCUGAGUUACGAGUUUAGCACACAAUUAAGACAUUGUGGAAAUUGUUUCACAACUAAUACCGCCUGGAACACCAUAGUGUGAUGGUGUGUCCGAACAUCAUAACUGCACCCUAUUGGAUAUGGUGCAUACCAUGAUGUCUCUUAUCGAAUUACCACUAUCAUUUAUGGGUUAGGCAUUAGAGACAACCGCAUUCACUUUAAAUAGGGCACCAUGCAAUUCCGUUGAGACGACACCGUAUGAACUAUGGUUUAGAAAAACCUAAGCCGUCUUUUCUUAAAAGUAUGGGGCUGCAACGCUUAUGUGAAAAAGUUUCAGGCUGAUAAACUCGAACCCAAAGCGGAUAAAUGCAUCUUCAUAGAAUACCCAAAACAGUUGGGUAUACCUCCUAUUUCAAAUCCGGAAGCAAAGUGAUUGUUUCUAGAAACAGGUCCUUUCUCAAGGAAAAGUUUCUCUCGAAAGAAUUGAGUGGGAGGAUGGUGGAGACUUGAUGAGGUUAUUGAACCGUCACUUCAACUAGUGUGUAGCAGGGCACAGGAAGUUGUUCCUGUGGCACCUACACCAAUUGAAGUGGAAGCUUAUGAUAGUGAUCAUGAAACUUCGGAUCAAGUCAGUACCAAACCUCAUAGGUCAACAAGGAUGCGUACUACUUCGGAGUGGUACGUAAUCCUGUCUUGGAAGUCAUGUUGCUGGACAACAAUGAACAAUACAAAAAAAUACACUUCUGUGAUGAUACAAGUUUGUCACAGUAGGUCGCGUUUUUUGUCAUGCAUGUACAUCCAUGACGAUUUUAUGACAGAAUCAAGAUAGUCAUACCUGUGUUGUCGUAGAAGUGCUCCAUGACAUUGCCAAAAUUAUCAUCACGGAAGUGUCCACUUCCAUGACGAUAAAUCGCGGGUCACAGAAGUGCUUUCGUCAAGGGUGACCGACACGUGGCAUCCACCGUAACGGAACACCGUUAAGCUAUCGGGUCGGGUUUUGGAUCCGAUAACCCGUUAACAGCCCCGACCAAUGGGGAUUUUCCACGUGUAAAAUCAUCAUUGGCUGGAGGAAACAUGUGUCGGCUCACCGUUGGGACAGAUGUCAUCCGCUCAUUGGACCGAAGGCGCCUAUGAUACGGCGACACGUGGCACGGCCCAAAAGAGGCCCAUUCCUGUGAAAAGGCCGGCCCGUUUGACUUGGUCAAAAGGUGGCGGGCCGGCCCACGGAAAGCCUGUUAACGACCUGUUCGCAUAUAGCCCAUUUAUAGCCCGCUAACCCAGAGCCCGUUACGCCUUAUCCGAAUUAGGCCGAGUAGCGUCAUCUGGGCUGUCCAAUAUGAUUCAGCCCGUUUUAACUUCCGGCCCAUGUGUGGCCCAUGACUUCUUUCGGCCCAUAUGAGGACCUUUGUAACUCUUGGCCCAUUAACGGCCCGUGGUGAAACUGGCCCAUAAUGAACAGUGUAUCACUUUAUACCCAUUAACGGCCUGUUAUUCCAUUGGGCCGUUUCCAGCCCAAGUUAUCUUUCGGCCUUUUCAGGGCCAAUUGAUUCUUGGGCUCAUUUGCAGCAUUCGGUUACAUACGACCCAUUAUUGUCAUUUUCUGCUUGUGGGCCAAAUUCUGCCCGUCAUUACAGUCGGCCCGUUUGCGGACCGUUAAUACGUUGGGCCAUUUUCAUGUAAUAAAAAAACCCGUUGGGCUGUUUUCAUAGAGUUAUCAAAUACGGCCUAUUAACGGCCCGUUAUGGUCCACGAAUAGUACGACCCAUGAUUGGCGAAAUGAUGAUACGCCCCGUAGAAGGCCCAUGGAUCCUACGGCCCGUAUGAGGCCCAUGGAUAGUAUGGCCCAUAGAAGGCCCAUGGAUCGUACGGCCCGUAGAAGGCCCAUGGACCCUACGGCCCGUAGAAGGCCCAUGGACCCUAAGGCCCGUAUAGAAGGCCGAUGGAUCCUACGGUCGGACGAAGGCCCAUGGAUCAUACGGCCUGCAGGAGGCCCAUGAUUACAACAGUCCGUGUGUUGCCAUGAUUAUCUUGGCCUAGUUACCAAAAAUAGGCUAUUGUGGCCACUAGAAAAAAAGAAAAAGAACUGCAGUGACUACAAGCAAACAACUAAACAAGACAAUAAGGAAAUAAAUAAGCAAGCAAUUAACGCUAGCCUAUUACCGCUAUUACACAUAUUACAUCCACUGGGCAUCAAAGUUCGCCACCAGUGCAAAUAUAGGGAACAAAGCAGCACAUUACAUACACUGGCCGUCAAAAUUGGCCACCAGUGCAAAUAAACGCGGCAGCAAAACAAGAGCAUAAUUGAAACAACUUCAGAAGAGCUCAAGAAACGUUAUCCUGGGUAUCCACCAUGCUGGAAAUAAGCUUAGCAAGCUUAUUAGCUUUGUCCUGUUUGGCGCUAAAAUCCUCCAACCCUUGCUAUUGCACCAGAAAGUAUGCAUCUGAAUGCUCCAGGGACUUCAGCAGUCCUUCCGCUUCUUGUCGCAGCACAACUGAUCGAUGUCUUUCAGCUUGUAGUUGAGACUCAAGAAACCGAGCUGAUUCAGACAGUGAGUUUGAAUAGCUUGUGCAAGCGGUAGUGGCCAGUAACUCGAACACUAAACCAAGACAGGACUUUGGGGUUGUCUCGCUGUCUUCAAGAUAGUCUUCCUUAGCUGUUUUAUCAGCUUUGUUGGAGACCAACAAGGAUGUGUCACUAUCCUGAACCUUAUCUGCAUUACUUCCUUUACCAUUGCGUAAUAAGGCACUCUUCCCCAAUAUUCUGUCAGCAUUAUAAAAGAAGAAACAAGCAGACACAUAACAAGUUUAGAGUGUACUGGUAUAUGAAACUCAUUUCGGUGAACCAGUUCAUUAGUAAGGUGGACAGGAUUAAACUACCAAGUCUUCUAUUGCCAAGUACUAGUACAUAAUAAAAGCAUCAAACAAACAUAUAUCUAUGUCCUAUGGUCACUUCAUUGUCUUGCCAAAUCAAAAUAGAGACACGGUUCAAAUCAUAUCAGUUCAAGACAAAGCAGCAGUGAAAGAAUACAAAGCGUGGGAAACUACACAUCACAACAAGAUUUCAGAUGGGUACCACGGGUCUACAUGUACAACGACACUAUUGGCUCUGUUGUGAUGCUAGUAAUGUGCAUGAUAUGAAAGUCAACUAUAUACACAAUUGAAAUGGAAAUCAACAGAGCUAUUGAUAAGAGCAAACCUGUUAAAGAAACAUGCGUGAACAUACCUGCUGUGUCAUUGGAGUUUCGAUUGGAUCCUUCAAUUUAAAAAUAAGUUUGUAUGAGAAAAUACAGUGAUACAGGAGCAAAGCAAUCAUAGUUAAAAAAGGCGCGCCUAAGUGAGCGCUUAAGCACGCCUAGGCUCUAGGCGUUGGCAAAACACAUUGCGCAUAACUACGCAUAAUCUGUGCAUAACUGCGCAUAAGCAUGCACUUUGGUUAGUAAAGCGCAAGGUGGUGGCAAAACGCACAAUUAACGCCUAGCGCUUUUUUGAACUAUGAUAGCAAUGGAAUCUUAAAUUAGAACAGUUGUUCUUCAGGUUUAGGCACUUGUUCUACAUGAACAGAGUACAGUAAGACGCAAGAAUAUAAUACUUAAAAAUAGAAAAUGAGCUCAUAGACCUUACCACAUUCUUGGUUCGGGACCAGUACAGAACAAGGCGUUCCCAGUCAUCGUCCAGUAAAUGUGUCUCAGGAGAACGUAAGGGAAUUUGAUGAGUUUCUUUGCCGGUGAAGUAUGUUUUCUUCAGGUAAUUCCGAUACUGCAACCAAGCAUUCUUGAAGAUAGCAGAGGUAUUAGCACAGGUUACCUCAUCCCGAGUUUCCAAAUCGGUCCUUCUCUAUAGAGAAAAAUGGGAAAAUUUGCUGUAUUAUAACCAUCAUGGAGGUAGGAUGUAUGGGACGAAGGAAAGUAAUUGCUAUGAAUAACAUUACUUACACAUAACUCCUGGACAAACACCUGCAACUGGCAUUUUCCUUCAUCUUCAGUAUAAUAUUUCCAAGAUGGGAAGAUACGCACAUAUGAUUUAAUAACAUCAAAUGCGAUAGAUGCUAAACUACGACUAGCUGGUUGUGCUUCCUCCACAUGAAUAGGCGUACUAACUGGUGGAGUUGGGGUUCGCCGUGAUAGUACUGGCCCUUUGGGCACUGGAGCUGCCUUACUAACUACUCUUGUUUGGGAGCUCUGUGGUGGAGAUGGUGCUGUGUCAACAGGAACUGGGUUACUAUCGGCUGGGGUUGGGGUUAGAUUGGGUGAAGCUGGUUCUCUGUCCAUCGCAGUAGGGGUACAAUCUGCGAGAGUUUGGGUUAUGUGUGGUAGGGCUGGUUCUUGUGCAUGUACAACCAGGGUGCUAUCUCCACCAAGGGGUAGCACUGUUUUAUUUGAAGACCGUGUUUUUAGUCCGCUAGAUACUGGCAUCACCCGCUCCAAUUCAAAUGGCUGAUAAACAGGAAACAUAGUUGAAUGUACAUACAUUGUAUGAGAGACAGAUGCAAUAGAUAGUGUGGAAAAAAGAGGGCAUGAAAUAGUUGACAUGUAUAUUGUUUAACUAAAACGGAUAGCAUGACAUAAUUUCACAUAUAUGAUGUCUAUCUAAACUGGAUAGCAUAGCAUAACAUAAUUCAAAGAUAUGAUGAAUAUCUAAACAGGAUCGCAUGAAAUAAUUCACCUACAUGUUAUCUAAGUAAUCAGGAUCGCAUCAUUUAAUUCACAUAUGUGAUUUAUAUGCUAAACAGAGGGCAUUCGAUAUGAUGUCUGAACUAAGAACAUGGUGUUGAAUAUUGUGUAUAUGAUGUCUAAACUAUGCAAUGCAAGACACCGUAUGCAUGAUAUGAGCAGUAUAACCGUGCCAAGUUAGAGCAUACACCUCAGUGGGGGAAUAGGACUGGUCAUCUGUCUCUGAAUCCAUCUCUGAGGAGCUAUCGGGACCCAACAAGAGAUUUGCUUCGACAGGUAGCACUGUCUGCUCUGAAGGCCUUGUUUUCACUCCAGAUUUUUCCAUCUCCCACCCAAAUGGCUGAUUCACAGGAAGAGUAGUUUAAUGUACAAAAAUUGUCGACAAAUGGAAAUGUAAUGAAGAAAAGGAUGGGCAAGAUAUCAUUCAAAUAUAUGAUGCCUGGUUAAACAGGAUGGCAUUGCACAUUUCACAUAUAUUAUGGCUGGCUAAAAGACAUGAGACUACAUAAUUCCCAUAUAUGAUAUAGAAACUAAACAGGUGGCAUUACAGAACAUGUCUAAACUAAGCAGAUGACAUAUAUGAUGUCAAAAGUAGGCACUGCAAGGCAACAUACGCAUGAUAUGACUAACAUCAUCAUGCCAAGGUAGAGCAAACACCUUGGGGGGUAAAUAGGAGUGGUCAGCGGCAUCUGAAUCUGCCUCAGAACAGAUAUCUUCCUCUGGAUUACAAUCUGGAGAGGGGUGGGGAGGGUUUGCCAUUGAACCCACCAUGGAGCGAUGUCUGCAUGACAUUGUAUUGCCGCACAAAACUCUUCUUUUUUUCUCUACAUGUUCAGCAUGACUGUGUACAAUAUCUGACACGCAUACGAAAAAAAUAUGGUGAGAUUAUGUAAGGACUGCUGCAGAAAUUUAGAGUGAUGGUAACAACCAGUGGAUCGACGUUUUUCCGUUGAACCAAAAUAGCCCUAAUGGAUCGACGUGAAUGUAUAGUAAAAAGUGAUGCAACAAGUGUACAACCUCUUUGCCGUAGCCGUGUCGACCUCAGCAUCAUUGGGUUGGUGGCUGAAGCAGUUGAGGCAGAGGUGGUUGUCGGAGGUGUGGAGGGAGAUCUGAGGAAUCCGUAGAUGGCGUCCAGGGCACUGCUCUGUUGUGAUGGAUCGUUCUGUCGUUGGAGCAGCUCCGGUGAGCCGUAAGACGUCAAGGCUGAAGCAGCACAAGACAGACAUCGUCAAUCUCAAGUGGGAUUCUAAUAGCAUUUCCAAUAGAUGAUGUAAAAUGGAUGUAAAAUUAACAUCACCAAAAACCACCUGACUACAACAGAUGAGGUAAAAACUUUUGACUCUGAACUUAACUAUCGAAACUGAAAUUUACUGUGGAAUCUGAAUGCUACUAUCGAAACUGAACGCAAUGGUAGCAGAGAGGCACUUGACAUGUAGUUUAGGGAGGGCCUGCAGUUCAUCUUCAACCUGCACCCCCUGAGCCGCAAGCCACCACCAGCCGAGCCACCGGCCCCAGCGCCGCCUCGUCGCCCCAAAACAACUCGCCACCGCCGCCCCGGCCAGCCCUCUAGGCCCCCCGCCCCCCACCUUGAACCCUAAGAUAGAUAGUGGGGUACCUCUCCGGCGAGCCCCCGUCCCCGCUGCGGGUGGUUCUUCCUUAACUCUGGCGAGCCCCCCCAACCCCUGAAAAUCGAGUGACCCAAAAGUCGAUUCAGUCGACUGAAGUGUGGCUUAAUCAGAGCAGAGCAGCAGCACGAGCGAGGGGGAGAGCAGCAGCAGCUGGGCAAGCGAGCGAUCGAGCGAGAGCCGGAGCAGCAGCAGCAGCGCGAGCGAGCGAGAGCCAAAGCAGCAGCAGCAGAUCCGGCUAAUAUGGACGCCGUCGCCGAAGGGGCCUCGCACUGGGGGAGAGCCGCCAUGGAGAUGUCGCCCGCGGCGCCGGCUUCAAGGUAGCCGCUCCAUGGGGGUGCGGGAUGGAGAACCGUCGGCGCCGGGAGGUCGAGUUAAGGAGAAGGUGCGAUGCGAUGAGUGUACAGCCUCUUUGGUGGAGCCGAGUAGGCCUCGGCUUCAUCCGAGGAGUCGGUGAGGAUGCUGCGGUUCCAGUGGAGCAGGUUAAGGCGGCGCUGUGGGGAUGGAGCAGCCGCGAUAGACGAGGCGAUCGUCGGAGCAGCUCCUUGGAGGUGGAGGACGGGGCGGCUGAACUGGCGGGACGACGAGAUGGACGACGGAUCCUCAUCCGGGGAGGUGGACGAGGGACAUCAAGCUGUUGCGGUGGACGACAUCGUCGGGGAAGAGGCUCCGGCUGGGCAGCGGUGACGUGGCGGCCGGAGGAGGGUGGGGUUUCGCGGCUGGAGCGGAGAGGUUAUGGCGGCCUGGGAUUUCGAAUGGCGAAAAGGGGGCGACGGGAGGGGGUGAAGCAUGACUUAGGGACGCGCUUGUCCAAAAUGUAGGGUGUGUUACAAAAGUACCCCCCAUCGAUUUGAACUAGCGGCCCUUUCAGCUCAGGGUUAGAAGGGGGAUUUCGCGUGUCGGGAUUUGGCAGCUGGAGGGAGUUUUCGCGCGCGUUGUAAUUUCGGGAUAGCAAGGCGCGGGUUGUUAAGGCGCUAGUUUUGGGAGCAUGAUAUCUGAAUUUUCGGGAUAUAACAAGAUGCGGGUUGAAUUUUAGGGACAAGCCUAACGUGUAGUAAUAUUGUACUUGUACGUACCAAAUCAAUUCGCACUUCCCUCAACCAAAAAGAAAAUGAAAAAAUAAAACUAUUCACAUCACACAAAGAGAGAGUCUUGCCCCGUUUUACUAUACAAAUGCUAUUCAAAGCUACUCCCUACUUCCAUCUAUAUAGGGCCUAAUGCGUUUUUCGAUGCUAACUUUGACCAAAUAUUAGAGCAAUGAUAUAUGACAUGCAACUUACACAAAGCACACCGUUAAAUUCGUCUGUGAAAGGUUCUUUCAAUGAUAUAUUUUUCACAUUGUGCAUGUCAUGUACUAUUAAUCUUGUCAAUAGUCAAAGGCGGUCUUAAAAAUCUCAUUACGCCCUAUAUAGAUGGAAGGAGGUAGUAUGAAUCCAUGUUAUGUCUGAUUAAAUUUUUUCGCUUGCUGUAUAAUGCAUGUAACCUACUCAUACCAACAUUUUAGUGCAUUCCAAAUGUCUAUACUACCGCUGCAAUUCGAACUAUAUUUGAAUUCGUUUCUCUAUUUCAAUAAGAAUCUACAAUCAUGAUUUUUUCCAACUUCAACCAUCAUAGUUUCCUUGCUAUCCGCCAGAUAUAAAUCGGAUGGCCUAUAAUGCAGGAUGGCAGGCACACCAUCAUCAACAACUCCGUUUUUUAUAAGAGUAGAGAUAAAAUAUAUUAAAUGUAGUAUAACAUGUUCAUAACCACACCAUGUGUAUCACCAUUAUAUAUAUUCACACAUGUGUCAGUUUGAAACACUUUGAUAAAUUCUUCAAAUAUCCGAAUUCGCUUUUUAUAAUGAAGUAUAUAUGAUCUCUAUUCGUCUUUUACACCCACACAACCCUCUUAUCUUUGUAGCUAGCACUAACUUUCUCUUGUGCAUGCACACGCCCGCAUCCCUCUCACCCUCCCUCAGCAUUCUUUAGCUCCAUCGGGCAAAUUCGUCUUUUCACUUUAGGUCGUUCACCCACGGUGUGUGUAGGCCCCCCAGCUCCUUCUUUACGGCACACAUCGAUCGAUAUGCCUCUCUAGCCAGGUGUGCCUAGCACAAACACAAGCUUCCCCUCUUCUCUUGCCACCGUCCAUGCCUCACUCCCACCACUCUUUUCAUCGUUCUCGUACUCGCACACUCCUCCCCCCUCGAUAUAGUAUGCCUCUCGUACCACCUCCUACAUGCAUCCCUCUCUCUCUAUCCUUCUCCUCGUGCCUCAUUUUCUUCUAACACACACAUGCAUGUAUACCGAUCGAUCUCCCAACAUAUACCUAGAUCGACUUUAACUACCCCCCAUCGAUCGACAUACCUCACAAGUUAUGUCUCUCCUUUCUCUAACAAAGGGCAAUUGAUCUUCCUAUGUAGUUAUGUCUGCUUACCACAGCCACAUCGUCCCCCCUCAUCAUUCGUGCAUGCCUUCUGACCCGUCUCUCACACGCACGUGCACAAACAACAAGCAGUCAUCUCCUCUCUUAUUGAUAUUGCGGGCGUGCCCUCCGUUUGUCUAGCAAGCCUAUACCACCAUUUGUUAGAAGCAACUCCACUACCACCCCCUCCAACACUCUAGCUCCGUCUCUCUCCCAACCUUAUUCCUCUGCUGCACAUAUGCAUGGAUGCCGAUCUAUCUCCCUUAAUACAUGAGGCAGAUCGAUCUCCUUAGUACAUGAGGUAGGCCUCUCUCCUACUCCACACAUAUACCAGCCAUUGUACCUCUAUAGUUAAUUGGGCCUCCCUCUUCCCCCACCACACACCGAUAGUCGAGCGCUGCAGGUAGGUAUCCAUGCCACAGAGACAAACUGCACAUGUCCCAUCUCACGUUCGAGUAGGCCAGCUACUCUAUAUCUUUGACCUGGGCACACACAAAUUCGAUGGCACUCUUUAUCGAUCGCGUGCGCGCACACACACACACACACACAUCAUCCCUCUCUUCGAUUCUAUGGACACCUCAAGCCGAUGAUACCUCCACUCUCUUCUUGUGGAUCGCCCCCNNNNNNNNNNNNNNNNNNNNNNNNNNNNNNNNNNNNNNNNNNNNNNNNNNNNNNNNNNNNNNNNNNNNNNNNNNNNNNNNNNNNNNNNNNNNNNNNNNNNNNNNNNNNNNNNNNNNNNNNNNNNNNNNNNNNNNNNNNNNNNNNNNNNNNNNNNNNNNNNNNNNNNNNNNNNNNNNNNNNNNNNNNNNNNNNNNNNNNNNNNNNNNNNNNNNNNNNNNNNNNNNNNNNNNNNNNNNNNNNNNNNNNNNNNNNNNNNNNNNNNNAAAAAAAACUCUCAAGAACCCACACACUAUAUCUCUCUAGGUUUGUAUCUCUCUCACACAACCCCACGUAGGUGGUGUACGUAUACAAGAAGAGAAUAGGUGCACCGUGCACGUACUCAUGCUUCGUGCCCAGCCACACUCGCGCGGGUACACGGUGGAGCUCAUUUCUUUACGAAAUGGCAGCCCACGUGCUAAUUUGAACGCCUGUAGCGGUUGUUUACCUAGGGAGGUCGUGUACCACGCGUGCACGAAACAAAGUUCGACUUGACGCAUUGCCGCGUUAUUUUUAAAUAAAGUUAUAGCGCUCAAUGGUACGUACACAGAAUAUAAAACGAUUUUAUGGAGAAAAAGGUAGUCCACUCACUAUAUACAAUGGAGCCUGCCUGCCUGGUUUGUCGCUCUUCAGAGUAUCUCACACAAGGCUGCGGUGGCCUCUCUCUCUCUCACCGUUGGUCACUGAUCCAGCCGCAUCCCGUCCGCUGGGGGAAAGGGAGGAAGUGCAUCGUUUCUCCGUUUGACGGCGCCGAGGCAACACGUCCCGAUCUGCGGUACACGCCGUUCUCUCUGACCAAGCUCCGGCGCGGCAGGGCCUACACCACCUGCUCGCAGAUUCCGCCCGCCGCCGCUCACCUAGUUACAUCCCGACGACCUCCAGGUAUCCCCUCCGGCCUUGCUCCACUGCCCGUCUUCCCACGUCGCUUAAUGUGGAUCUUCCAUAGUUCUUUGCCCAAAACGUAGCUCGUCCGGCGUACUUUCCAUAUUUGCAUUCUCGUCCUCACACCGUUUUAGACAAACACAACCGUGUUGUUAUCUUCCCUUAGGACAAGGAAUAUGCUUCUUUUUUGUCGUCGCAUGUGUCAUCAACUGUUAUUGGCCAAUAAUUGUUUCCUUUCUACUCGUUGCUAUUGCGACCUUUUGGUGAACUGCACAAAUCACUUUUUUCUUAAGAGUGUUUUGUGCAGUUGUACUAAAAUGUCACACGGGCAACGUCUCUACAUUUCAGUGUGACUGCACAAAGGGAGAUUGGUUUUGCUCUAUCCUCCUCAUCCAACUCCGACCCUAAUCUUCUCCAACUAGUUAGUCUUAAGAGAGACUACAAAGGUGACCGGCUUAUAUUUGUGUGUUUAUUGUUCCAUCAAAAGUCCUCUAUUAUCGUAAUCACACUUAAUAUCUUUGGAACAGGGACGCUCAGCUCUAUUUUAGUGGAACAGCACAAAAUGACCGGAAUGUUGCAUGCUCCAGACAGCUACUUUUUUCCCGACAUGCCUUGUUGAUUUAGACAGAGCUGGGGGGACGUUGCUGCCAAUGAAAGCAUGGAUCAAUUUUAAUUUAACACCUUCUCACAACUCUGUCUUCAGUUGUGAUGUAAUUAUUAGCUCUGAUCUACUAAUAAUUGACAUGCAUUAGCAAGGAAGAUAGUUUUUUAUUGUUUCCGAAAGAGCAUCGAUGGCAAGACACGGGAAACAAAAGCUGAAAGCUCACACCAUUGUACAAUUUCAUGUCGCUGGAAAAUUGUUUGUAUAGUACGUCAAUUAUGUAAACAAAAGAUGGAAGCUUGAUAGCAUUGCCAGAAGCCUCUUCAUCAUCCUGGUCCAGGUGCCAUGCACAAAAUUAUACUCCUUCGUUCCUAAAUAUUUGUCUUUUUACAAAUUUCAAACGGGCAUAUUUUAGAGUGUAGAUUCACUCAUUUUGCUUCGUAUGUGUACUCCCUCCGUUACUAAAUAUUCUAUUCGUCUUUCCAGAGAUUUCAACAAGUGACUACAUACGAAGCAAAAUGAGUGAAUCUACACUCUAAAAUAUGUCUAUAUACAUGCGUAUGUGCCAGUCCAUUUGAAAUCUCUAAAAAGACAAAUAUUUGAGUAGUCACUAGUUGAAAUCUCUAGAAAGACAAAUACUCCGGAGUAUAUUUAAGAACCGAGGGGGUAGUGCACAACCGCAUGGGAGACUCAGCCCGGUCGUUGCGCCACAUUAAUAGUGAGUAAUGAGCAGUCAAAUCAUAAGCCCCACCUUUCCCACCGUAAGUUGCUCUGAAGAAGCAACCAUCAAUACGCUCUUCUUUGAAUCCGCUCAUACUACUCCAUCCGUCACUGUUUAUACAGCGCGCUUCACAAAAAAGAAAAAAAA
rnacentral:lncRNA from 1 species